UCCAUAUAUUGUUUAACCAUUCAACUUGUUUGAGAUAGAAUGUCUAAACAAAGUAUUAAACACAUUGAGGAGACAUCUAACAAGUUUUUGCAUCUUAUAGUGUCUCGAAUAUCUGUAUGGUCACAAAAACAUGCUUCACAACUACCAAUAUGAUUUCCCCGCAAUCACCUAGUAAAAGAAUGGGUGGGAUUUCUAAGUUAUACAUAGUAUUUCAGGAUGCUACAUCACCCGAGCAAGGCAAAUUAGAGGCUUUUAUGUCACCCUGUAAUUUUUUGCAAUGGUAAUAUUUGAUAGAUCAAGAACCAAAUACUAUUGUAAUGAUUAUGACUAAAACCUAGAAACUAUUCUAAAUAAAUCGUGAUCACUCAGACAAUUUUCAUUGUUACUUUUGUCUAGCGAUCAUGUAAUUAUCAAUCUACUCAAAUUUUGAAUAUUAAGCACAUGAAAAAGAAACCAUCCUUCUUGUAAGAAAGAUUAAGUUUCUUUUUCUUCUAAGCCCUUCUCCAAAGGAGUCCUUCAGUACUUCAUUUAUGAAGGCAACAUGGAAUUAUGAAAUUGAUUACAACAAUGCUAGGUGGAGAGUGGGUUCUUUUUUUUCUUGUGGCCCAUAGAAUUGCCACUUUCCUGCAGAAACUCACUAGGAGAGACGAUCCAUAGCUUAACCACAUUUACUUUGGCUUCACCAACCAGUGGCCUCUGUUUAACAUGCAGAAUGAAUGGUCAAAGUAUCUCAUCUUGGAUUGUCCCUUUUCAGUCAAACUAUCGGACUACAUGCACCACCAUCACCUUGAUAACACUAUCCUUUGAAUAUGUUCUCUCUUAAUUGUCCAACAUUCUGAUAAUUGCACAACCAUCUGCAUAACUGUCUCUAUUUUGCUCAAUUUUCCAUAAUACCAUAAGCCAUACCUUCUUCAGGUUAAAUAUAAAAUCUAACCAACAUUUUUGAAGUCUUUAAAUGUUUGGAACUUCUCAUUCACUUAUUGAUACUAUAGUGCUGAAGUUACAGUUCUCGCAUGCGGCAUAAAUUCUACAUAGUCUAGAAAUCUUAUCAGAAGUUCAACACAAAAUCACAACUCAAAAGAGCAAUACAGAUUUAAAAAUACUCAAAAAAGUUUCAAGACAGUAAAGCAAUAAAUAUUUCAGUGCUAAAAUAAGAACAUACUUAUGAUACAAUUGUCAUCUUGUAGGAUUCUCGAACAAGUGUCGGAGCAUAUCCAAGUUCAAGCUGAACGAACUAAUAUGUUUUGGCUGAAUGCAAGAGAAUUUCCAAGUAGGUAUGCCAUUAUUAUAUAAACUCCAAAUAUUUAAAUCUGUAUUUUAUUUCAAAAGACCACCACAAGAAAAAUCAUAUAGACAAUCUAGAAUCAUUCAGGAAUUCCAAAUUAAUCCAAGUCUUCCACUACUCUUUUCUUGAAGCAGCAAACGUUUACGAGAACUCACUUUUCUUUCAUUCUAACAUCACAGGAAUUUCUUGUAAUUAGCAGAUAAGCAAUAUGCCCAAAUAACAAGAGAUAUCUUCUGUUCUAAAUUAAAAUUCAGUAGCAUAAAAGACUAGUCUUUUUUAUGAAGAAAGAAGGCAUCAGAGCAUGAAGCAUUGGAGUCAAUAAAACACUUACCUGAUGGUCUUGUACAACAUACAAGAAACCCACGUCCCCUCCAUUCCCAUCAACUUGAUUCCAGGAAGAAAACGUCAAUCUGUCCAAAUAAUUAGCAAUUUCAUAGCCCAAUCACUCAGACAAAUCCCACUUCAGUAANNNNNNNNNNNNNNNNNNNNNNNNNNNNNNNNNNNNNNNNNNNNNNNNNNNNNNNNNNNNNNNNNNNNNNNNNNNNNNNNNNNNNNNNNNNNNNNNNNNNNNNNNNNNNNNNNNNNNNNNNNNNNNNNNNNNNNNNNNNNNNNNNNNNNNNNNNNNNNNNNNNNNNNNNNNNNNNNNNNNNNNNNNNNNNNNNNNNNNNNNNNNNNNNNNNNNNNNNNNNNNNNNNNNNNNNNNNNNNNNNNNNNNNNNNNNNNNNNNNNNNNNNNNNNNNNNNNNNNNNNNNNNNNNNNNNNNNNNNNNNNNNNNNNNNNNNNNNNNNNNNNNNNNNNNNNNNNNNNNNNNNNNNNNNNNNNNNNNNNNNNNNNNNNNNNNNNNNNNNNNNNNNNNNNNNNNNNNNNNNNNNNNNNNNNNNNNNNNNNNNNNNNNNNNNNNNNNNNNNNNNNNNNNNNNNNNNNNNNNNNNNNNNNNNNNNNNNNNNNNNNNNNNNNNNNNNNNNNNNNNNNNNNNNNNNNNNNNNNNNNNNNNNNNNNNNNNNNNNNNNNNNNNNNNNNNNNNNNNNNNNNNNNNNNNNNNNNNNNNNNNNNNNNNNNNNNNNNNNNNNNNNNNNNNNNNNNNNNNNNNNNNNNNNNNNNNNNNNNNNNNNNNNNNNNNNNNNNNNNNNNNNNNNNNNNNNNNNNNNNNNNNNNNNNNNNNNNNNNNNNNNNNNNNNNNNNNNNNNNNNNNNNNNNNNNNNNNNNNNNNNNNNNNNNNNNNNNNNNNNNNNNNNNNNNNNNNNNNNNNNNNNNNNNNNNNNNNNNNNNNNNNNNNNNNNNNNNNNNNNNNNNNNNNNNNNNNNNNNNNNNNNNNNNNNNNNNNNNNNNNNNNNNNNNNNNNNNNNNNNNNNNNNNNNNNNNNNNNNNNNNNNNNNNNNNNNNNNNNNNNNNNNNNNNNNNNNNNNNNNNNNNNNNNNNNNNNNNNNNNNNNNNNNNNNNNNNNNNNNNNNNNNNNNNNNNNNNNNNNNNNNNNNNNNNNNNNNNNNNNNNNNNNNNNNNNNNNNNNNNNNNNNNNNNNNNNNNNNNNNNNNNNNNNNNNNNNNNNNNNNNNNNNNNNNNNNNNNNNNNNNNNNNNNNNNNNNNNNNNNNNNNNNNNNNNNNNNNNNNNNNNNNNNNNNNNNNNNNNNNNNNNNNNNNNNNNNNNNNNNNNNNNNNNNNNNNNNNNNNNNNNNNNNNNNNNNNNNNNNNNNNNNNNCUGCUGCCUAACUUUAGGCGGCCGGCCCCUCGGUCUCUUGGUCAAACCCGGCUGACCCGGAUCCGGACCAUCGGCGGCGCGCUUGGGGGGUCGGCCGCGCGGCCGGGGGAUCUUGGCGGGGGCCAGGGGAUCGACUGGUUUCGGCGGCCGGCCACGCCGCCUCGGGGCCGCGUCGGCGGGGCCAGCUGGGUCGGGGAGCUUGGGCUUGGGCGGCCGGCCGCGGCGGCGCUUGACGGGCGGAGGUGCCUCUGGCCCAGGGCGGAAGUAGCCGCUGCCGACCAGGAGGAGCUCGCCGGCCUCGGUCAUGCGGGCGAGGUGUGCGUCCAGCUGCGAGGCGUGCGACGGCGGGAGCUGGCCUUCGUAGGACGACUCCACGUACUCGGCGAUCGCCGACAUGCUCGUCCCAUCCUUGUCGCCGGAAGCUGCGACCGCAGCCAGUAUCAUCUGACGAAAGGCAAAGAGACGCUGAUGAUGAUGAAUUAGGGUUAGGGUUCCGGCUUAGGGAGCAGAGAUGUGUACCUGAGGGUACGGAGGGAGGGAGUGGGUCCGCGGAUCUUCUUCUUCUGUGGCCAUUGUUGGACUGUAAGAACAGAGAGAGAGACUGUGUGUGUGUGUGUGCGCGUGUGAGUGAGAGAGAGAGAGAGAGAGAGAGACGACUGCUGCCUCUGCUACUGUUUUGGGGAGUAAUAAUUGGGAGGGAGACGUCUACAUUUGGGGAUCGGCAGUGCGGACGAAUGGGAAAGCGAGCGAGCGAGGGAGGCUAACACUAAUUAAACAAAAGCGGAUUAAAAAUACUAAAAAUGUUAAAUUAUAUUAUAUAAUAUCAUUAUAUUUGAUAUUAUUAUUAGUGAAAAUACAUGUUUUGUCCUCAGGACACGUCAAAGCUGAUGCCACACGCCACGUCGAAACUCGUACCCCCAAGACACUAUUCGACACGUCUGAUCUUGGCAAUCCCGAGACGGUAACACCCCCGCACGUCAAGCCAGAAUCCAUAUUGAUGUCGUGCUGUGUCCAUCACGUUAAUCCACAUACGACCGACCCUUUCACGGUAGUAUAAAGACCUCUAUCCCGGCCUCCAAAAAAAAAAAGAGAAAAAGAGAUUACUGACUUACUCGUUGGAGGGGCCAAAGUCGGGAAUCACCCGACGAAGGCUAUUUUUGCAGGAAGACAACCCAACCUCGGGAGUCGCGGACCAACGCCCUCAUGGCGAGUCAUCAACCAACCCACCCCCAACUCGAGGAUCUAGUCAGUUCCGACAACCAACUCAGCCGACAGGAGACUCCCGACGUCGACUCGUGGACUAAGCCGUGCUGACUCAUCAGCCACGGCACAUUCGUUCCCGACAGUUAGUAUAAUAAUAUUUAAAUUACAUUAAUAUCGAAUGAGAUUGACAGCUUCUUCUCUGACUUUAGUAUAAUAAUAUUUAAAUUACAUUAGUAUAAUAAUAUUUAAAUUACAUUAAAUUACAUUAAUAUUUCAAUCUUCAUAAUGUGAUCCAUAGCAUGAGAAUUCUAACUUCUUCCAAGGCAGUAGAUGUUACUUUAAAUUAUGACAGGAUUCAAAACAUGUAUGUAUCCAUCACACCCUUAUUUGGUGUUUUUUUUUUCAUAUCUAAGUUUCUUUUUGUUGAUUACUAUGUUGAGAUAAUUACAAUGAGAUUGUGUUGAGAUACUAUACAGAUAAUGAGACUGUCAGCACAGAAGUUGUGAAGGAUUAAUGUGAACUAUAAGACUAAUACCAUCCAGUAAGGAAUAGGAAAUGUACUAAUAGUGUCUUCUCUCCUACUUAGAAUCUAUUAGAAUAAUAAUAGUUAGGAGCAGUGUUGGAGAUUAGGUGUCCUGUGAUAUAUGAGGGUAAGUUGGCAUUAAACCAUUUCCUUGUCCGUCUAGAAGACAUGAGAAAAGUCAUGAUGUGAGGCUUUGGUAUUUAAACUGGCAUUAGGAGUAGUAUUAGGUGUCAAGAGGAAUUCCUUAGCUAAGGUCUUCAUUUUUAUCAUCAAUGACAUAUAUUAUCUCCAGCUUGCUGCUGUUCCAGCAAAUGAUAAGUCUAAGCUUGCAAAUGGAGAACAGUAUGUAUGUGUCAACUUUGAGAGAGAUUUGGAGGUGAAGCAGCUGAAAACCUGCACGAUGAGGUUCAAACAUGUCGUUUGGUAUGCUCAUCUCCCUCACACCACCCAAUGCAAGAGAAGACUAUUCCAGAGAAUGAGAUAUAUUAUAAGCAGCUUUGAUCUCGAACCAAACCAACCAAGUUCACACCAUUCAUCCAAGAAGUCGCUCUCUCUCUCUCUCUACUCUGCUCUUCCCACUGCUUCCAUCAUUUGAAGGUGGAUAAGAUUUUUGUCAUGCAUCAGCAAUUUAUGAGCAGAAAACUGGAUAUAUAUAGUGGAUAAAUGAGGACUCACACCAUGCAUACACCCUUCACGUUUCACCGGGAAGAUAAUUGCAUAUCAGCAAUAAUAUUAAUGAUAUAUAUGCAUCACAGAUUUCAAUGUUGAAUAUUAUGCAGCUAUCAUCUCCAAGUUAAAGUUGCAUCAGCCUGGGGUUCCUCACAGAAGAUAAAACCAAGAAACUGCAACAAGAAUGUUCCCAACUCAUGACACAGCUUAUCAGAAAUCGCCAGAGGAGAUGCUAAUUUUAUACUUCUUGUGUUGCAGAAAAUAUAAUUUGAAUGAUCACUACAACACAUACAUGCAUGAAGCAGAAGAAUUCAGUCUUCACUUACUGUAUCCAAAAGCUAUGCUUGAACGAGAAUGCUAAGCUUCCAUGGGUUUUAUGUCAUCUUGUUAUUGUAUCAUCUUCUUCUAUCUCUUGCAUAGUUUCUGUGAUUACGAUCUGAGCUGAGAAACUUAGCUCAGAUUUGGUGGACUCGUCGUACUUUCUUGUUUUAUAGAUUCAUAUCUGUUUUGGUAGAAGAACAGAUGGCCAGCAAAGAGCAAUGUGAAUCCCCGUGUGAUCUGUAAACAGUGGCGUUGCAUACUUAAAGCAAGGCCGGCCAAAGUGGCAGCGGCAGUGGUUGCGAUGUAGGAAGUCAACCCUCAAACCCAGUGCCAUGCAUACACCCGGAUGAGUAUGUGAGGUUUGUCAACUGCGUGCGCCGCUGUUGCUUCAACGUCAAGGAAAGUUCGAUCCACCAUUGACCAAUGCGAUGGCCUUCUUCCUCCUCCCCGCAAUAGCAGGCCCGAAAGACUCAACAUGGAUUAAAGUAACUCCGCAAAUGGAGUCGCAGCUACGCAAAUGUACCGCCUUUUCUUAGUUGGCUGUCAAGCUUACGCUGUCAAACAUCUGCUGCCAUCUACGUUGGAUCUCAUUAAUUGCACCAUGGCCUCUUCCUCAUUCCACCAGCGCUUCUCUUCUUGUCCUCCUCCGUUGCCAUGAGGAGAUCCCCUCUUGCUGCUCUCCUUUUAUGCCUCGCCCUCCUCCUGCUGCUGCUUCGCGGUCCGAGCUCGCUGCAGUCUUCGCACGCCAAUACCUCGUCCAUCCCCAGGAAGAUGUUGUUGGCGAAGCUUGAUGUCGCUGCAACCAGUCAUGCAAGGCACCAUCACCAUCACCAUCGGCACAACCAAAGCCAGAAAACGUCGCUCGUUGAUCCCAGCGGUGUCGACGAAAUCGAUCCUCGGUAUGGCGUCGAGAAGCGACUAGUUCCGACGGGGCCCAACCCUUUGCACCACUAGCCGAUGUUUCCAUGGAAGGUGAUAAGAGCAGUGACAUGGCUGCUGAGGGCUUUUGGUAUCUCGUUCCUUGUUCCAUUCUUUGUGACUGGAAUUGAAGAAUGAUAUGUAGAUCUCAAGAAUCUCUGGAUUAAUAUACUUGUAUGUUCAUGUGUGUACUACCAAAACCUUGUAGAAUCCAGCUGUCUUGCUUGCUUACUCGGAAUACUUUGUCGAGUAGAAAAGUCUUCGUUUAGUUUGAAAAUUUUGUCAUUGUAGCGUUGAGAUCGAAAGCUUUAGAUUGUUCACAGGAGAAGUUGAGCAUAGACAUGGUUUCAGGUAACUCGUAAAGUUCUGAGAGACAUUGAGAGCACUCAGUAUGGUAGAUGGUAAUAAGUAAUGAUUUGGAGGUUCAAAGCAGAAUCAUCUGCCCACUAAAUCAUGCGACCUAAUAUAGAUAUUAAAUCUAAAACAACAGACAGUUGGUUCUGACAGUAACAUAUGAGGUGAGUUACAGCAUCUGAUUUGUUUUAUAUCAUUGUUUGCCUCUGACAACAUCAUAUUGUUUCUGAUUCAGGUUUAGGAAGGAUGGAGAGGCUCGAUGUGUUUAGAUCAUUUGACUUUUGAAGCUUGUUUAUGGGUUCUGCAGAAGCCACCAUGUGAGGUCGGCAUUUGAAUGGCUACCAUAUGAAGUCAGGUUUUCGUCAACUCCUCUUCCUGUGCUCUUUACCUAUGAUGAUCACUUUUCUCAGUUUGCUGUAUGGUUGAGUUGACCUAGCGCAAGAAGUAUAGAUUCGAAAGCAAGUCAUGAUUGUGCUCUUUCCAAUCUUCAAACACGAGAGGUGUGGGGAUAAGAGAUGGUGGAUAGAAGAUGAGAAGGAACUUUGGCAUCACCAUCAUCGGAAGGCAACUUCAGACUACUUUAGAUGGAGCAACCUUGGCCAUUACAUUAUCCAUAGCCACCCAAAUCCAGAAAGCACCGGCAACAACCAGGAACAAAGGUUGGUGCCACUUCCACCACUAACUCUGUAGGCAAAUGAUGCAAACAGAUAUCCAUUACAACACCAAACAAGCCAGAAAGGUAACCCAACCAGACCAUUUAGUCACUGUAGGAUGUCAGAACUACAGGUGCCAAAGAAGUCAGAGAGAUCAUGCAUACACAGGAUUUUAUUCAUUCAUUACAGAAAGGUUGCAGAUAUUACAGUCCUCCCGAAUCAGCCUGCAAAAGUAGGAUUUGGUGAACAAAAAACAACCAAACAUGGUUGUCAUGGCAUGCUUUUAGCUAUCAGCUGCCGAUAACCAAAUCCCUUGAAUCUCGGGCAUCCAAACAGAACUGUGCAAGAAGCAACCAACCAAAGACCCAUACUGAAGAGGAGAAUAGACUCAAAUGACUCGUUAGGACAUGAAGCCCAGACUGGAACAACUCUAAGGACUGACAGACCCGAAACAUUUGGACACAAGUUCGCCCUGCCGGGCAUUGCCAAUAUAGGAUUUGGCUAAAACAAACCAUAGAAGCAAGCAAUGUAUGAUGCUUCCCUGAUGAUACAUAACCAUGACCAUAUGAAAAACAUAGAGCACAUAUGAGCUAACUAGGCUCAUAAUUGAGCAACAACUUGACUCAAGGUUAGAUAUGGUUGUGAUCUCACAAACCAAGGCCAAAAUGGGGGAUAGCCAGCCAGUUAAAGACUGCCAAACCCCCCAAACAGAGUUUUCCUGUGAAAGGAGAACAAUCUGCAAAAAAUACAAGAUAGGCCAAUGGUCCAUGGAAGACAACCAAAAUCUUCGAGCAAGGCGAAAGCUUACGGCCAGAGGCACGAGCCAAAAACUAAACAGAAAUAGAUUGCUGCUGUUCACAAUCAAUCAUGGUGCUGGAUUUCAUGAUUGACUAAUGAUUGGACUACCAAGAGAUUCCCCUGACCAUUUUUUUGUACUUCAACUCAACUAGGAAAUGAUAUCACACCACCAUAGCUUCUCCUCAAGCAACCUCAGCCCAUGGGCACUGAUCAAGCUGCAGUCCUGAAGAUUUAGGCCCACGAUGGAAAGCCCCAAGUUUCCCAAGAAUGGCAGACUCUUCAGUGUAACCUGUGAGCAACUUGCAAGAGAGAGGAUAUGCAAGUUAAGCUGCCUUGCUGAUGCCAGGAGUGCCACACCAUAAUCACUUACUGAACAACUUGACAAAUCAAGGUCAUCAAGCACAGAGCAACUUUCUGUAAUUGCCAGAAGGCUUCUAUCAGUGAUCUUCCUACAACCAUGAAGAUUAAGCAUCUUCAGACUACUUCCAUGUACCUUGAUCAGCAUAGUUACCAAGUCAUCUGUUACGUUAACACAACCGGUCAGAUUGAUCUCCACAAAGCCCACCUCAGAACUCUCGAUCAGUGGGAUGAGCGAUUCAUCAGUUACCCCAACUUGACCACUCAAAUCUAUAUUCUGUAACUGGGGGCAGAUCCUCCCUACCACUUGUAUGCUAGCACUAGUGACUCCUGGACAGUCUUGGAUAGUCAGGGACCUAAGUGACAUGCAUGACGGCAGUUGUGAAAAUUCAAAAGAUAUGUCUUUGAGGCCCAAGCAUCUCACCAAACUUAGUGACUUCAAUUCUGCACUGCGCUUCAAAAGAGCACCAAGGAUGCCCAUAAGAGUGAUAUGGUUACAAUCCUCAAGGUGCAAACCCUCAAGUGCCUUUGCUGUUCCAGCAAAUGCUAUCAAACCAGCAUCAGACAGGUAGCAAGAUUUGCAAACAAAGAGCUGCUUCAGGAAGGGGGAACCCUUGGCAAUAGCUUGCAAGGCAGUAUCAGUAAGCCCAUUGCAACAGUUGAUACUGAUGGACUUCAACUUUUGUAAGCCAUGAGUAUUUCCCAUAACCCAAAAUCCCUUUUCAUUCACAUCCUGAAGCUCAGUGAGAGAUAGGUCGAUUACAUUCUUCCCAUAGUGUCCAAUGACUGCAAGAGCAAUAUCACUGAUAUUCAAGGUCCGAAGUCUUAUCCUUUCCAAGGAAGAAGAGGCUGAAGAAACCAAGCUUGCAAUUCCUUUGUCACCAACCUGCAGACAGUCAUUUAUAGUUACAGAUUUUAGUUUUGGACAGCAACGACCAAUAGCCUGCAGACCUUCAUUGCCAAUUCUCGAACAAGAUUUAAUUGACAAAGAUGUUAAGUCAGGGCACUUCUGAGCAACAGCUAUCAAGCCCUUGUCUGAAAUCAGUGGACACUGGCAGAGGUCAAGCUUUUCCAACAAUGGGCAUCCAUUGGCAAUCUCAGAUAGGCCAACAUCAGUGACAAAGGGUACCUUCCACAUAGAUAGAACCCGUAGGGAAGGGCAACCACGAGCAAUAGCAGAAAGCCCAACAUCAGUAACACGAGUUGAAUUGCUUCCUCGGAUGGAAAGCUUGCCUAGCCCACCACGACUACAGGUUCCAAGGGCAAUAGAAGCAAGUCUAAUAUCCGUAGCUUCCUCUGCAUCCAAGCACCUGGUGAGAUACCCAUUGUUCUCGCUUUCCUGUUCAUCGACAAUCACAUCAUUAUUCAGGAACAGCGAGGGGUUCUUCACAGAUUCAUCGCAGGCCUUAUUGCAAGCAGCAAGCUCUGAAGAACGGAUGCUGCUAACAAGCAUAAGCCAGUGCUUGGAGACACAAGCAGAGUUGCUCCUCUCCUUAUCUCCGGGCAACCGCCUGAGGAUCUCAAAGAGGCACUCGUCAGGAAGGGUGUCGAUCGAUCGGGGCUGUUUCUCUUCGUCUAUGACCUUUUCUCCAGCUCUGAAGAUAAGAGGUGCCGUGACCCGAUAUCUCUUGCAAGGGGGGCCGUAGACAUCAGCCUUUUGACCAAGAGAAAGGAGAAGGCUCGAAUCAGUGAGAUUCGAGUAAAAAGGGCCAGGGCAGAUAUCAUCGUUGCCUGCAAGACCAAGAAAGGAGGAUGAUGGUGAGUUCCAAAAGAGGAUCUAAAUCUGAUCUAAGAUACAAAUACAAUUAUCAAGAAAACGCAUAAAAAAUCAGCAGGAGAUUUAAAGGAAGUACAAUCCAGGAGUCGAGCACAACAAGAUGCCAUCUUGUGCCCUUGAUUCCCCAUUUGUUUCCGAAUUUACUUUGAGCAGUACCUUAUGUAACUUGUGAAAAAUCCCUAAAUCUAGACAACACUGAAUAGCGAAAUCAUGGAGAUUUGCUCUCCAAAGCACAACAAGAACCAAAGAGUUCGCAAAAGAGAAUCAAAAUGAAGCAAAAUUUACUGAAUAUUUAAGGGUUAUCGAACAAAAAUCGGAUCAGAAGUUGAAAUGACAACAAGAUGAUAGUACCGAAUAGCAAAAAAACAGAGAACAUAUGAUCUAAUAUCUCUUAAUCCAAUUUAGCAAGUCUCGCCUCCAAACAAAGUCUAAAGUCCUCAUAACCAACUAUAACUAGCAAAAGGACCCUCUGAUCCAGAAAGGGGCUCCUGAAAUCCAUCAUUAACAGAAAAUAGCAACGAUAGAGUAGAUCAAAACGCAAAAGCCAUCGACUUCAUGUCAAUUAAAUCACAAAUUAACGAACUGAGAGCAGGGAAGAGGGAUUACCUCCAUAUUUGACGAGCGCCGCCAUGAGCACAAACGGAGGAGGAGCAACCCGGAAGAUCCGGAUCCGACCACCAGGAACAGCAACGUGUAGCUGAUCAAGGAGAAAAAAUGCACCACUGGAACGUUAAAGACCUCGGGGAGCAUCACAAAAUCCCAUACAGGUUCGAUCGAUAGACACAGGCGGAGGAGGGGGAAUCCGUAGCCGGCGUUGGAAUGGGGAAGCCGGGCGUCGGCUCAACAUAAUAAAAGAAGGGAGAGAGAGAGAGAGAAAGAGAGAGAGGAUAAGAGACGGAACGAAUUUUCAGUUUUGCCCUUUGAAUGCAUUGCACCUUCCCAUCCUCGUCGCGAAGUUGCCGCCACGGAGAGUGUGGGCGGCAAUCAUCAACACAAAUCUUGAUGCUGGGCCUAAACGGAUACGAUUCCUUCUCUUCUCUAACACGAGGCACCAAAAAUAAAAUGAAUUAUUAAAAAUAUUCCAGCUUUUAAAAGAAAAAAAAUCAUUUUAUCCGAUAUGGGUUAGACGAUUUAAACGAAUCUUUGUCCAUAAUUUAAAAUAGAUGGAUAAAAUAUUAUAUAUCAUAGUAACAAUUUAAAAUAUAUCAUAAUAAUAUUAUAUAAUAAAAUUAAAUAAGGAACGGUACUUAAAAGAAUAUGGUAAUAAGUGACAAAGUAAUAUAAAAUUAAAUACAUAAAUCAUAUACAAAUAUAUUGACUAGUUUAAUUGAUAAAGAUUUUAAAGAAUUAUUGUAAUGUCAUAGUUUAAUUUACAACGUUUCCCCUUUAUAAAAAAUAUAAUAUUAAUAUAAUAAAUCUUUGAAAAAAAAAAAACUUAUGUUAAGACAUUUUGGAUCCCGAAAGUUUCGCUGAUAGUAUUUUUUUUUCAAAAUAAUUAUUCUACCUCUAUCGAUCGACCAUCACCCAUCAAUCACUCUACCUUCUAAUUCUUUACUCUUUUAGUCACUUAUCUUCGUAGCUAACCUCGUCAAUAAGAAUAUAAGUGGAGUAAUAGAAACAUCUCAAAAGAAGACGAUAGUGAUUCUGAUAAAGACAUAAGUUAAAUAGUCAUUCGAUCUUGCCAAAUAGGUUACCUAGAAUUUUUUUAAAAGUUGAGAAGCUCUAUAGAAAAUUUUCAAAUUUAAAAUAAUUUUUGAAUAAUUCUUUUAGUAUUUAUAUAUCUCAAAUAAUAUAAUUAGUGAACUAAUGUAUAACGUAUAAGGAAAAACAUAAAACAAAUGCAGCCUAGUAAAUAAUCUAUAAUGUAUAGGAAGAAAUUAAGAGUAUUCCUAAAAUUGACAUUUAAUUAAAGUACAAGAACGCUUGAUCAUCCAGUACAAUAAUCAACACUAAUUCACAUGAAGGGCAUAUUUAUGAAGGGGUGUGACCCAAUAUAACAGUGUUGUUAACACGUGUCACUCUUAAUCCAAGUUAUCAACCUUGGGAUAUAUAUAUAUAUAUUGUUGGUACAGCGUAUGGUGCAUGGGCAGGGAAGGGAGGAUGGACAACGGACAUGCAUGCAUCUGCCCUUGUCGAAUGGAACAUGCAUCUGGCUGUCACCGUCACAGCAUAAAAAAUAGAAACGUACUCAAUUCGACAAGCAUUGCAUUCACGCUGAGUCAAGCUUACAUAAGUUGACGUAAAUAUGACCCAUAAGCUCACAAGCAAUCCUAACAAUAACGAUGAUAAUAAAGUCUUAGUUGACACCUUUGAUUUAAGAAAAAAUAUGUUUUAGCAUUAACCUAAGACGAUUAAAGAAGAUAAAAACAACAUGCGUUCAUUGAUUAAAACGGCUAGAAAACAUAAUGUAAAGAAAGUUAUGUUAAAUACAAUAUUAAUAGGAAAAGAGCCAAUAAUUAAUUUUUUAACGCUUUUAAAUGUAAUACAUGUUAUUUAGUCUAUGACGGAUGUGAUCUUUUGCUAGCUGUUGAUAAAUUAGGGCCCAGAAAAGGCCCAACUCAUACUGGCUUUGUUAGAGUGCGCGGCCCAUUUGUGCUUGAUCAGUGCCACGGUCCAUGUCAUGCUCCGCCCGGUGGGCGCUGACGGCACCACCGACUACAGCCGAGAUGAGAGUCUUACUCCUUCCAAGUGCCGACGACAAUGACAUUACAGCGAGUCCACAAACAGUCGAUGUCUUAUUCUCCUGUAGUAGGAAACAACACAAGCACAACAUACGGCGGCUAGUUGAUUUCGAUCUCCCUUGCGUUGCUCUUCUUCUCCUCCGACCUGGGUAUGUAGAUGCGCAGGAUCCCGUCCCUCAGCUCCGCCCUAAUCUCGUCCGCCUUGGCGUCUUCCGGCAGCAGUAAGGUGGCGUUGAUGUACCCGUACCUCCUCGUGUGCCAGCCGCCGUCCCCCUCGUCCUCCGUCGUCGAUGACGACGACUCGUCCCCUGCGUCCUCGUCCUCGGACUCCCCGGUUAUCACCAGCAUCCCCUCUUCCACCGUGACUCGCAGGUCUUCCUUUCUCAGGCCUGGCACCUCGUACCGCAGCUUGUAGCACUUGUCGUCCUCCUUCAGCCGGCCGAGCAGGCGAGAUGGCGACAACCUCUCCAACAGCCCGUUCAGGUUCUCCGACACCUGCAGGAGCGCAUUCCCGAACCCUGACGAAAACAGAGAAACCAGGUCGGCACAGGUGGAGUCAGCCGUAGUGGAUUCUUUGGUCAUCACUGCGUACCAUCGUUGAGGUGGAAGGGACUGAGGUCCCAGGGAUUCCUCCAUGAGAGCCGACGGCUGCGGCGUCCCCGAGCAGGGGAAGGUGCACGAGUCGCCGCCACCUGAUCACUUCUGUCUUCCGGAGAAGAGUCGGCAGCAGCGUCUCCGGAAGAAGAGUAAGGGAAGGAAGGCGCCGCCGCGAGUCCUCUUAAGCGUGCGGCUCCCCCAGUGUGCAGCAACGAGAAGGAGCGGCUUCGGAGAGCGUUGCUGAGGCAAGCACGAGCUAGAGCCAUCACAGACGAGGAUCAAACUAUGGGAAUCAAGGAGAAACGUCGGAAUUAAAUAUGGUGGGUUGGCUGCUGAGAGAAGAAGAAUGGAGGAGUCCAAAACCUUCCAGCAAGGUCACGAGAGAGAGAGAGAGAGAGAGAGAGAGACAGAGAGAGGAUCGAAGAAGCACGUAGAGUGUUCUGGAGGGAAGCGCAGGUGACGCCACGUUCUUGGCUUAGGCAAUACGCGCGUCAACACUGAGCUGCAUCUCAGCGGUUGGAUUGACUGGGAAUUCCAAGUGGCUACUGCUGCUAAUGUUGUGAUGAGGCGAAUUUGAUUUACCAUUAUCUUUUAUGGAAUAUACGGUUUCUAUGAAUUUAUGAUAAUUAUAUAUCUUACGUUCAAAUUUUAAUUAAUGAAUAUAAAAUUUAUGAAACUAAGAGUCAUUUGAUAAAAUUAUAAUUCAAAAGAUGAUUGAACAUUUAGGAACAAAAUUUUCUAUAAAUUGGUAAAAAAAAGGUCAAAUUAUGUUGACAAUUAUAAAAGUAAAUUACUAGAACAAAUUCUUUAACCUAAUUAUAAAUUAUUUCAAGAGGUAAGAAAAUAACGAUAUAUCAAAUGAAAUUGAUGAUUUUUUUCACAAAGGCAAAAGUCAACUAUUAUCAGCCUCAAAUAGGGAUAAAGACUAAUUUUUAGGAAUCUAAAAAAUGGAUGACCUUGAGCAUCAUAGGGGUCUGAUGCGAAUUGGACACAUAGGUGAUUGACUUUAGGUCAAGUGACGCCACGUUCUUGGCUUAGGCAAUACGCGCGUCAACAGUGAGCUGCAUCUCAGCGGUGGGAUUGCCUGCGAAUUCUUUGUGGCUACUGCUGCUAAUGGUUUGCUCCGUUUUGUGAUGAGACGAAUAUGAUUUACCAUUAUCUUUUAUGAGAUGUCCUCACAAUAUAUGCGUAUGCAAAGGAUGAUACGAAGGAUCCGUAAAAUAAUAAGUUGAUUAGUUUAAAAAUGAGUGACGGACAAGUCCCGAUAUCUCACGAAGAAAUGAUGUCUCACGAAGAAAGAAGUUUUACAAGUAAUUCAACGAGCAUAUUGAGUGCAAGAGAGAAAAAAAAAAAUUAAAUAAAGAUUUUAGAAGAUUAAAUGAAUAGUUAUAAGUCAGUAAAUAAUUAUUUAUCGGGUGUCGAGAGCGAAGGUAAGUUAUCGUCAAGUUAACUUGAGAGAAGACUAAAUAUAUAAAAUAAUUUUGAAUAUAUGAUUUCUAUAAAUUUACAAUAAUUAUAUAUCUUAUGUUUAAAUUGUAAUUAAUGAAUAUAAAAUUCAUGAAACUAAGAGUCAUUUGAUAAAAUUAUAAUUCAAAAGAUGAUUGAACAUUUAGUAAUAAAUUUUUCUAUAAAUUGAUAAAAAAAAGGUCACAUUAUGUUGACAAUUAUAAAAGGAAAUUACUAGAAUAAAUUUUUAACCUAAUUAUAAAUUAUUUCAAGAGGUAAGAACGUAACGACAUACCAAAUGAAAGUUGAUGAUUUUUUUCACAAAGGCAAAAGUUAAAUAUUAUUAGCCUAAUUAAAAAUCUAAAAAUCGGAUGACCUAACAAAAAUUAAAAAUUAAAAUCAAUUCCUUUAUAGUUAAAAAUAAUUAAUAAAUUAUUUUGGUGAUAAAAUUAAAAGAACUGAGUGUACUUAGAAACCAUAUUUUUUAUCUAGUGUGUUCCACAAUAGUGACAAAAUGGAGUGGGUAAAGAACAUCAAUUUCAAUCAAUGCUUCCACAGCCUACCUUAAAGUAAUAAAUGUUAAGACCAAUUAAUUUUGUGGUGGGACCCAAGCUGUCAAGGAUAAAUAAAAUUAUAUUUGGCUUUGACAACACCAACCCAAAGGCAAUCAUUCUUAAAAAAUUAAUUGAUCCACAUAUAUCUUGGUGAUUGAUCCACGAAUCAUAAAUUAAUUGAAGAUUUCAGUAAGUAAGGAAUACAAAGUUGUCGUUCUAUAUAUAUGCCUCUAUCAUUUUCUAUUCUAGUGAAUUACUAUUUUUGAUAUUUAUGUAUGAAAAAAAUAAGAUGACGAUUUAACAAGAGUGAUACAUCCAAAUUUAAAAUUUGAAAGGAUUGCUACUCCGAAUUUUUGUUGAAGGUUCGAACACUCUAAGCUACUGUUCAUGAUCAUUAUGAAGAAAUCUUUUACGAAGAAGAUAUAUUAGUUAUAUUUAUAUAUCUUGAGAUAUUUAAAAAAAUAAUAUUUCGUUGAAAGGUUCUAUACAUAUAUCGUUUCUCAACGCAUUUCUUUAGAGAAAGGCUCCAUUUUUUUUUUCUUUUCGGAUGAUAAAUAUUUCUCAAAAUUAACAAAAAAAAUACAACUUGAGCAAUGCUCAAUGAAUUGACAACUCAAAUAAAAACUCUGAAAGAAAUAGGAUCACUUAGCCAUGCUUAAUAAUUGAAAAAAUUGGCACCAUGUAAGUACAUGCCACUAGUCAAAGAAAGAUAACGGAGAGUUGACUAAAAUAAACACUUAAUAUUUGACGUGACUUCAAUUGCCACAAGUGAAAUUACGAUAAAAGAUGUGAUAUGCAGAUAGCUAGAUAGCUAUAUUGUCAUGCACUAAAUAAAUAUUACUCUUAUUAUACAAUUCAAUCAUAUUCUAUAUAUUCUACUCGCAAAAAAAGAAUUUAAUUUUUUUUUUUGAAAAUGAAAUGAAACUCAAAUAUAAUUAAGUAUGCAAAACACUAUAUUGUUUCUGUCUUUCUUUCUUAAUCACGUCCUUCUAAUUCAUUGGUCAAUUUGUAUGAUCAUUCAGUAAUUUCUUUUUUUUCAGUUUUUUUCAGCUAUUCUCUUUUUAAAAUUCCGUAAGCUUCAUUCUCACUACAUAAAAUUACAUGAAAAGAGAAUCUUUUGUUACAAUAGAACAAAAAGUGAUUUGGACCAUCUUUUAUAUAAUUUUCAUAGAUGGAUUUUAGCUACCAACUUUCAUUGAGUCUCUGCACCUAUCCUUUUAAAUUCUAGUUUUAUAAACCUUUGUUUUCUUUUUUCAUUUUUUUUUUACCAAAGUGACAAGGUACUUUGAAAUAAAUAAUUAUUUCGAUGGAACCGGAAAUUAAUCGUUGAUACACGAUACAAACCAUUAAUGUCUCUUAAUUACUAGAUUAUCUUUCAAGUGCACUAAUAAAUUUUACGAUGAUAAAUAAUUUAUUUCUAAUGGUUGAAUGAUAAAAUUUCUCUGUUUGAAGGAGUCAUUGAAGCUAGAUAAAAAAAAAAAGGUACUGACUUAACUAGUAAGUAACUUGGACAAGGUCGGGGGAAUAAACCUUUCGUAUAAAAUUAAAGGUAAUAAAAUUAUCUACAAAUGAAGUCUUAAAAUUCGAAUUCGAACCAGUAGAUAAGCUAGAUAAAGAGAAAAAGUAAAUGAUGAGAAAUAUAUCUGGAUGUAAUGUUGAUUCAGAAAGAUUUAACUCUUAUAUAAUUAAUAAAAAGGGGAAUAUUACUACAUGUGAUGCGUGAAUUAUCUUAUGAUAAACCAAAGGAAGAUGAGGAUGAUAUCAAGUCAUUGUGCCCCUUAUGCCCCGGGCGACACACGUCGUGAUCCCGUGAAAGUGAGCUAACCCCAAAAGCUACAAUUCACCCUCAUGAAGUCUAGAAAGAUUAGAAUCAAAUGAAAAAAACAUAUAGGUGAUGAGGAGAAAAUAAAAUAUCAAGAUAAUUGCGCAGAAAAAUACUUUCUUAUGUACCAAGAUAAGAAAAUAUUAUAUUUAGUAAUAUUGAUAAUAUUUAGAAACAAUAUUAACAUAAUAUUUGGAGUGUGUAGAGCGAGUUAAAGGUCUGAUGUGAUGUGAUGGGAUGGGAUGGGAUGUUUUGACUGCUAAUUUGGUCAUUUUCCAGAAAAAAGACCUAAAGAGUGAAAAGUAUGAUUGGCAGCGAGAGCUACAAAUUGUGGUAAUAUGAUCCAUUAUGUCACACAGCUCACAGACAAUUGCCGUAUGAUUGGCUCAAUCGAGUCGCCCAAAUGACUAAUGAAAAUUAGAAGUUUCAUGAUUGAUGAUCAAAUUAAUUAAUUGCCUUUAUCACCACUUAUUAAUGAUCAAAUUAAUCAAAUGAUUAUUUUAUCUCAAUUGCAACCCAAAGAAAUAUAUAUUUCUCUCUUAUCAAAAAGAUGCUUUCCAACCGAAAGCUGGAUGAUGGCACAGCGCAGGGUGGGUCUCAUGCAUUGCUGUUGUCGCGUGCCAUUGCUCGAGAUGUUCCCCGCAUAUUCUUCGACAGUCACUGUGGUGGGAGGGCGAUUCCUCAUCCACCGCUGCUCGAGGACGAUGACAAGUCUUCCUGCUCUCAGGCUGACGCCAUGACCCACUCGUUGACCGACCGCAACAGUUGUAUUCUUCCUGUUAAGAGUUGUGCUCGAGAUAAGGAGAAAAGAAGCUCGGAUGCAGGUCAAUCUUGUUCUUCGAGAACUCGAUGACUAAUUACACAGAGUUAGGAGUAAUCCGAGCAUGUUGUUCUUCCACUGGAACAACGAGCCGAGGAAGAAGCACAACAAGAAGAAGAGAAAUCAUUCAUACAACAGACGAUGAUGAUGAUGAUGAUGACGACGACGAUCAGUAGCAGCAGGACAUCCUCUGCAUCCCCCGAUCUCUGAGAAUUCCAUUGUACAGGGCGGCUCUGUUCGCCGGCAUCCGGCUCGCCUCCAGCCCUUCUCCUCCUCGACGACGAUCUCCGAGCGAGUGAUCCUCCGCCGAGCUCCCCAGGUCGAACUCCACCACUUCGGCCGCGAACUGAACUCGCUUCUUCUUCUUCCUGUUCGCCCUCGCCCUCUUCCUCUCCUCUGCGCAUUGACGACCUCCAUCAGCUUAGAGAAAGCAAAGUGGGAACAGAGAGGAGGGAUUCAGCAGGAGGCUCGCACCGGAAGAGGACAUGCAGGACCGCAGAUUGCGCCACGGAGGAGGUGCCGGGACGGUGGCGGAGGAGAGAGAGAAGGGCUUCUGCCGGCGGAGGGCGAUCAGGAUGACGGUGCCGGAGACGGCCACGGCGGUUGCCAGGACCACCCCGUGAGCGCUCAUGAGCGAGGAAGCCGACAUGAGGGGGGAGGAGGGGCCGAGGGCGGCGGCUUCGUUUGUCGCUGCUACAAGUCCGUGACAUGUGCAACCGCAGUGUCGGCUUUAUACUUGUUUACACGGCAAGAAACGAAGAGAGAGAAGGAAAAAGAAGGCUAAUAAAGAUUCGAUGUUAGGCAGUGGAAGAGGUUGGAUUGGCGGUUGCCAUCUCAAUUUUAUAUGAACAAUGAUGGAUCAUGACAUCCAUAAUUAACGAUCGCAGAUUCUAAUCUUAUCCACUUAAAUUUCAGUACAUAUUUAUGUCUAGUUUAGGUUGAGCAUUAGAUAAGAUGGAAGAAGAAGUUCUACAGUGCCAGUGAGGAUGUCAUCUUCUGGGAAUCUUCAAGUCGAGGAAGGCCGGACGGGGACUGCUGGACCUGUUGGUAUCGGUGGCUCUUAGGGGGGGCCGUCUGUCUUCGGGCCACUUCGGAGACUCAAAAGACGAACGCACCAGCACGGAUGAAGAGAAACGGAGGUGGUGGGGGAAGCUGUCGCUGUUUGCUGACUCUGUCGACCGACGCCUUGCUUUUCCGCUGAGGUUUGAAAAGACGGAUGAUGCGUCUGCUUUACUUGAGAAUGACGCCAAGGCGGGCGUUGGUCUCCGUGACGAAGCGGGCGAAGGACGAUGGACGAUGGGGGCGCGUGUCGACCAUUGGCGACCCCUGAGAAGCUCCGCCGGUGCAAGAAGUGCAGAGAAGUUUGGCGCACAGCACAACACAACAAAGAAAAUUAACUUAUACGUAUAUAGGACGAAUUUAAAGAGAAAAAUAAAUCUUAUUCUUGAAUUCUUAUUUUCAGAAUUUUCUAACGAUAUUUUUUUUCUAUUUCUUAAAAUACUUUCUUUUUAUCCUCCUAUCUUCUUUAUAAUCUAUUAUAAUACUUUUUAAUUUUUAUAAUAUAUAUUAUAUUAUAUUAUAUUAUAGUAUUUUUUUAAUAAUAUUAAAAAAUCAUGAUAUAAAAUUUGUAUUCUAUGUUAUAAUAUUUUUCUAAUAUUAUUAAAAAUAGUAUAAUAUAAUAUAAAGACACAAUAACUAAUUGGGUCAAAAGGAAAGACAAAAAAAAUGGUGGGUGGGGUAGGUGGGGAUAUUUCAUAUAUUAGGAAAAAAAUGAGAGUGACGUAGGAAAUACUAAAAAUGGAGACACUUCAUAAGAAAAACCUAAAAAGAUGGAUCUUCAUCUUUUUAUAAUCAUUGGAAUAUCCUUGACAUGACUAAAUUAUUUUUUCUGCCCAAACUUCUAUACAUUUAGUCUAAUCUUUCAUAUAUAAAACAUACUGUGUUAGUUAGAAUAUUUUUUAAUUUAUAUGAUAUUUUUCACACCUCUUUCAAAAUAUUAUAACUUUAUUAAAAAAUAUUUUUUACACCUAUAUAUUGAUUAAAAAAUUAAAAAUUAUUAUUAUAGCUUAUCAAGGAUAUAUUGGAACUACGAUAAAAGAGGACACCGAUGACAAAGAUAAAAAAGAUAUGCACCUCUUAGAAAAACCUAAAAAAGAUAUUUUUUUUUAAAAUUCAUGUAUAUAAUAUAUAACAAAAAUUUUAAAAAACUAUUUUUUUAUUAAUUUUUAUUUUUUUAUAUUUUCUAAAGAGCACCUCUAUUUAUCUAAUCCCUGAAAUGUCUCUUGAUAAGAUGAUUAGAAUAGUAUCUAGUUACAUUAUAUAAAUUGGUUCAUAAGAUAAAUCAAUCCAAUUCCUUGUAUAUAAGAUUUAUAGUAUUGUUUAUAGUGUUUUUGAUAGAUCUAGUAAAACACAAUAAUCUUACUCAAAAAAGACUAUAACUAAGGUAAAAUUGAUUCAAAACUUAAUAAAAACUAGUUUGUAUACAAAUGUAGGAUUUCAAAUUAGUAUUUUAUUGAUUUAUGAACAAUAAAAUCUAAUUUAGAUACUUUUAUAUUUUUUACGUAUGUUUAUAGUAUUUUUUUUUUAAAUUAUGAAUCCAUUAAAAAUAGAUUCAUAAAAAAAAUUAUGAGUGUAUUAUGAGAAAUAUAAAUAAAAAGAUAUCGAAUGAAAAAUAUGAGAAAAAAAUCUCUAGAUGAAAAUAAAAAAUAGAAGUUUUUUCUCAACAAUUCGUAUAUAUUAUUGAUGACAAUAUUGAAAGAUAGCUCUUGACGGAUCGAAUGCAAUGCAUCAUUUUCCACGAGCUUCAUGUCAUCAAAUUUUCACUCAAAGGAGAAGUAAAACAUGCAUAAAAAAAAUACGAUGCUAAUGAGAACUAACGAGAGACAAUGAUAGAAAAAUAUUGAAAGUCAUGAGAGCCCUAUCUCAUUAGCUUAUGGCUGAUGGAACUUACUGUGAUGAGCACCGUCCUCUAAUGCUGAGAACCCUAACACUCUUAUGAACGGUGGUGACAAUUUGCAUGUCAUGAAUAGUGGGUGUGGUCCACUCGAUAGCUAAAUUAUGUGGACAAAGAUAAUUCAAUCUAAAAGAAAACUUCCAUGUUGGAUAAAAAUCGUUAUUAUCUCAUAAUGUUGAUGCAUUAUGGUAUGUGAAACAGUUUGAUUUCUUGAGUUCUUGGGCUUCUAGAAAAAUUGUGGAUCAACUUUCAUCAAGUGUCUAUGAGAGGGUAUAAAAUGGACUUUGGAUUAAUAUUUUUAUUUUUUAUUAUUUAAAUAGAUAUAGAAAGAUUUUAGAAUUUUUUAGCCAUUUUAUUAUUUUAUUAAUUUAAAAUUUCUCUAACAGAUAUAGAAUGAUUAUGGACCAAGACAUGAUAAAAUAUUAAUACGAAAGUAAUAAAAAUUUUGAUAAUUUAUCGUAAGAUUUUAGGUUCGAAUCCUGACUUUGUCACUUAUCGUAAUCGUAUGAGAUUAAUCUAUGGUCCUUGUAACACUAACAAGAACAAUAUACCUACAGUAGUUGUUAUUUAUUUCUUAGAUGACAAGCCUAGAUAAAACUUUAUAAAGAUGUAGUUGGAACCCAUAUCACCUAAUGAAGGCUAAUGAACUAUCCCCAACCACACAGCUUAAAGCUAGUGUUUUUGGGUACAUCCAGUGGGGUGGUGAUGAAGGUAAUAAAUGGCCUCAUGUGUUUUCUUCUCUUCACCUCUGCAUUCACUGAGAACAUGUACUGAUCUCGCUGCUUUAACGAAAGGCCUCUUCUUGCCCGUUAUCAUGUAUGUACGUCUGUGGUUUAUCUGAGAACAAGUGCUGAUCCAUUUAGGUUGCAGAUAUGAGGAGGAGAGAUUAGCUGUGUCGGACUUUUCUUUCUUUGUUCUUGUUCAUGUCCCAUGUCGUGUAGAUGGAAUAUGUGCAGGAAAUCUAAACCUCUGGGGACCAAAAGGAUGAAUGCAAACGAAAGGAAGAAACUUCGAGCAUUUAUAAUACCAUCUGCAGAGCUCUGGUGUGCCUUUAAUUUGGCCUCAUGCAUGAGCUUUCAAUGACAACCAAGUCUCGGUUGACAUGACAGACCCUUGGCUCAGAUUAGUAAUGAAUAUGGAGAGAGAGAUGUCUUCUUUGUGUGGGUGAGAUACACAAAUGAAUAUGGAGAGAGAGUGAGAGAGAGAGAGAGAGAGAGAGAGACAGAGGUCUUCUUUGUGUCGAGGCUCGUGGCUGGUCCAGCUUCAUGGCUGCAGAGAGUACCAACAGCUGUGUUCACUCUAUGGGUUUUCAGAAGCAGGUGAACUAUGGAUUCAAUGACGAGUGAAAAAAGUCAAAUGAAGACAACACAGGUCAAGAAAACCUACUUCCAUAAAUCAAAGAUGGAUAGAGAGCCUUAUUUACCGCGACGAGUUCAUCGUAAAUAUGAGCUGUAUGAUGAGCACAAGCAAAUGGGAAGAAGAUGAUGUUUACGGUGAAAGGAUCACAAGUAUUGACUUCUGGUUGAUGCCAUGAUGCUGGUCUUCCUUGUUCGAGAUAAGAUAAUAGAAACAAGAGGUUGGAUCUGCUUUUAUGACGAUGCACAGGAUCGGAUCGAUCUGUGAAAGUAUUCAUGACAUUUUCUUACCUUGAGUGGAUGGAUCGGAGUAUAUUGCAGUCUAUAUAUAUUUGGAUUACCGACAGCAAAGAUGAAGUACUGCAAUCAUAUUUCAACACAAAGAAACUUGGUAGCUGAUAGAUGAUUGAUUCAUGAUUCAGCUCAUGCAUUGAUUACUAUCAUCGCCAUCACCAACUGAUGAUGCCUUGAUCUCAUGCAACUGCUUUCAGUGGUCUUUCUGUAUACCUUUUGCUCUUAAUUACAAGUGCUAAUCUCAUCAGACUUGCCAACAAUAUGUUUGUCAUUGUCAGGGGUCUAUUUUAUGGACUCUCAUACGACUGCAUUCAUUCAUUCUUUAGUGCAACCAUCUGCUUCAUGCAACAACAUGAUGAAACAAUAUAAGAGAUAUCAUUAGAUAUUAAGCUGAUUGAUUUACCCUGCAUAACAGUCAUUCUUUUGUUCUCUUGUUUGACAAGCUGUAUUGGUCCGAUGGAAGAUUAUGUUGUCUCGGAUCAGUGACAGAGAAGACAGGUAUAGGAAGGCUGUAAGCUUGAAGAAUUGAAUGAGUUGUUGUUCAUGGGCGUAGGUGGAGUUUAUUACCACUCCACUAUGUGUGGUAGAGAGCAUAUGGCCUCGCUUCACCGACAAAUCUGCCACCUUCUGCUCAAUGCCUCCCUGCACAUUCUCCUCCCUCUUAUUGUGACACCCUCCCCCUUCCUUCCCCACCUUCUUUCUCAAGUUAUAGCUACUCGCUCCUCUCUCUCUAGUAGAAACCCUGGAGAUUCUGUACUUUGCAGGCGGUGAAAAGGAAGCGCGUCUUUACUUCUCUGGUCUCCUUCCUAUAUAUCUCUUCCUCCCUGCCUUCUCUUGUCCGGCUGCCAGAGUUUUACUGCAAGAACAGCAUCAUGGUACAGUUGAAGAAGUUCCGAGGAGUCAGACAGCGCCAUUGGGGCUCCUGGGUCUCUGAGAUAAGACAUCCUCUUCUGUAAGUAGUACUUGUGAUUCCCCACAAAGAUGGAGUACCUGUUGAUUCCUUGCUGUUUCUUUCCUCUCAACCUAUGUUGGACGAUGAAGGCAUUACUUUCGUUCUUUUCCUCUUGUGGUUGUGCAUGCGAUGCGGCCAGCAAGCGAAGGGUGUGGCUCGGCACCUUCGAGACGGCCGAGGAGGCGGCGCGAGCCUACGACGAGGCGUCGGUGCUCAUGUGCGGGCGCAACGCGAAGACCAACUUCCCCGUGCCCUUGAACCCCGACGGGGACCCCGGCGCGGUCGCCGCCCACGAGUCCUCCAAGGCCGCCCUGUCGGAGGUCCUCAGUGCUAAGCUCCGCAAGUGCUGCAAGGCCACCCCGUCCCCCUCGCUCACCUGCCUCCGCCUCGACACCGAGAAGUCCCACAUCGGGGUGUGGCAGAAGCGAGCCGGCACGCGCGCCGACUCCAGCUGGGUCAUGACCGUGGAGCUCGGCAACGCCAAGGAGGCCAUGAUGCGGCCGUCUUCGCUCGCAGGGGAUCAGGGGACGUCGUCGCAGGGGGCGGUCGGAGGGGUGGACGACGAAGAGAGGGUGGCGUUGCAGAUGAUAGAAGAGCUCCUCAGCAGGAAUCGCCCAACCCCCGCUUCACAUGCAGGUGAAGACGGCUUCUUCGUCUAGGCCACAUCGCAGCUCAAGGAUAAUUCUAGUAGGUCUCAUCUUGUUUGGUCUGUCUGUGAAUACAACCAUAUAUAGAUCACAUCAUCCAUCUCUAUCAUCCCAUCGAGUAGCAGUCUGUCUCAUGCACUUGAAGAUGGUGAGAAGGAUUGCAGUAAGCAUCUAUGUAUCUUUGUUUCCUCAUCUAAGAGUUCACAUGCACAAUCAAAUCAUGUAACAUGAAAGUGAUGCGAGUGUAACAAUACGAUCUUAAUUACAAGCACAACCUUCGCUUAAGAGAUAUCAUAAGCUCAAAUGGUUGCUUUCAUGUCCUCCAAAUAUAAAUCUUUCUGUGAUAACUGCAUCUAUCUAUCGAUCUAUUUAUCUAUCUAUCUAUCUAUCUAUCCACCACUAUGACUGAUCAAUGGAAAGACCCAAUGGGAACAUUUAAGUAGGAUCUUAGUCAUCAGAUUGAGAAUAUAACAUAGUAUCGACUACCACAAAUUAUCUUCCUGUUUAAAGUCUUUAGGAUCUUGCAGCCAUAUCUCCUUCACUCCUGUGGGAUUCCUAACAAUUAGUUCUACAGAGUUCUUAUGAUGGCACAAGUAAAAGCUGCCAUGAUGCUGCAGUAGAUGCUGUAAGCUGCGCCUCUCUCAUACUGCAGUUUACUUCAGCUCAUUCAAUCAACAAAUCUCAUACAAGAAGAAGAUGAGAGAAUUGUUCCCUGCACACAAAGUUCAGUCAUAUUGAGUUUCUAGCUAAGUAGAAUUAUUUUUAUCAUUAUAAGAUGGAUUUGUGAUGCUAGAAAAAUGAAUGUUGCAUGCUUUGAGGUUUGUGAAUACAGCUGAGGAGAAGUCCUUGCACUGUUACAUGCUCAACCCCAGUUUCUAUUGGUCACUGUUUCAUGUAAAUCCAUAUCACUUUGAGUCAAUUUUAGGUGCUUGCUUAAUUAACACUCAUCUUGUUUCUGGACCAUAAACACAAUUAACUCCAAGUAAAUCCACCAAUAAUGUGUUCUUACUCAAAACAAAAAGCUGAGAACACUGCAAUAACAUUUAUUCUUGGUUCUCAUUAAACAAGACAAAUUAAGGAGCUAAAGAUGCUCAACAAUUUAGCUCUGGCUGGCUGUGAUUCUUUUUGAGGGAUCAUAAUCACAGUAAGCUGAUGCAACCUUUAGGCAAAGAAAGGAAAGAGGUAUGUAGGAUUCCUACAAGUGAAGGAUCUACAAGUUCUUGGGGAAUAAGAUUCAAAGUACCAAAAUAAAGAAAGAUGAGGGCAAGUAGGGCAAGGUAACUCCAGGCACAUUAAUAAGAGUUGGGGUAGAUGACAAUGGGGAGUCCAAAGGUCGUUGAGUGCCAUAAAUGUGCCUUAUAAUUGAGGAAAUAAUUGAAAUUAGGUCACCUCCCAACUAGAUUACUAUCCACAUCUUAGAUUUGGAUGUUCUGGACACCACUACUUUUUAGAUUGACUGAAUCACCUUGGAAACAGUUCUCAAUAUGACAAACCUUUUUAGAGUGAUUUACUUCAUUUCCAAAACCACAAGGAAAUCAAAAGAAUGGAUUGGCAUGAGACAAAUCUUAGGUAAGUUGUCUCAAUAAGGUAAACAGAUGUUAGUGGCAUGAAUAUUAUUAUAGAAAGGUUUUUAAGGUUUUAAAGACAAUAAAAAUGUUUCUUAAAAACUUUUGAAUGAAGUUAUACUGUUUUGGGAACCUUAUUAAAAAAAAGGAGAUAAUCUCAUUCAAAAACAAUAUAACUCACAUUCAACAUAUUCCAAAAUUUUUAAUUUUUUUUAAAAUAUAUUGCAAAUAACUUUAAAUGCAUGAAUGAUUAUCUUUUCUUUUUUGAGCCAUUAAAAUAUUAUUUAUUUAUUUAUUUUAGCCCUUUAAAAUAUAAAAUUAGAUUUUUUUUUAAUUUUACCCAAUUUAUGGUGAAUUUACCACAACCUUGGUCCAAAAACCACCUGUACAUGGUAUAAUGAGGUUUUAAAGAUAUUAAAAUUCUUUUUAAGAUUUAAGUUCAAUUAUUUUUUAAUAGAGUUACACUGACUUUUAGAUCAUAUUUAAAAAAUAAAUAAUAUUAUUAAAAAGUAUAACUCACAUUUUUUAAUAAAAAAUAUUAAUUUUUUUUAUAAAAAACAUAAAAAAUCUAAUGAAGCCAUAUUUUAUUUUAUUUAUUUAUUAGCAAUUAUUUUGUCAUAAUUUUAUUGCUUUCAUUAUAUUUAUAUUCAUAAUUUUAGAUUUUUUAUUAAAAUAAAUAUACAUUCAUAUUAUUUAAUUUAUUAGCUAUUAUUUAUCUCGGAUCGGUUUAAGUUUUGGGUCGAUUCAAUAUAAUGGAUUUGAAAAGGGCAGAGAGAGGAGGAAAAAUAAAAGAAUGAUUGAGAAUUUUUUUUGUUAUUUUAAAUAUUAAGGACUCCGAAAAUAGGAACCUUCUAGAAAACAAGAAAUAAAAUUAGUUUUUUAGAAAAUUUAUCCAUCAUCAUUUCCAUAGCAUUAACGUGAUAAAAUAGAAGGAAGCUUCUUCGGGACCGUUUCCACGUGGCUCCUGCGCGACGUCACUCUCGUCGGGACUUAGGGAACGACAGUGACGCGGCGCACUUUCCACGCGUGAAAGUGGGCUCCACCUCGUUUCAGCACCUGGGCCCCACCCUGUGCAUUCCGGGUAGAGGUGGACCGACGGUUUGGGCCCCAUAAGUGGGUCCCCCGAGGUUGUACCCAAUGAUGAAGAAGGUAACGCAGUUGGUCGACGAAACCCAAAAAAAAACAUAGGAUAAGAGAAACAUAAGGAAAACGAUGACGAGACGGUCCGUCUUCUUCUACCCGUCAAUCGACCCUUUUUGUUAUGGAAUCAGCGGUGAUGGGGCCCAAUCCAAAUUCCAUGGCCUCAUCCACUAACGAGGCAGUUCCCAAGCGAUCGCGUGUUGUUGUUAAGCUGAUGCGUGUUUUAGCAGCCACACCAAAAAUAAAGGAAGCCUAUUCCCCGUACUCUUCCUCUUUCUUGUCGCAAUCCCCCGUCUCGCAGAAGCCAAAACCUAACGGCAAUAACCAAAGUUCUCUUCCGACUACUCCUCGUUGUCUCCCCGCAAUUGCAUAAAUAUGGCAUCGUCCACACUCCCCAUCUCUCAACCCCGACAUUUCUCCGCUCCCCGUCGCCCUUCCCCUUCUCCCUUCUCCGCCUUCUUAGGGACACACCGACUACUCCUCCUCCGCCGCCCCCGGGUAGUUGCUGGCAACUGGUUGCGUCUGCGGGCCUUGGUCGUCAAAGCCACCACGACCGAGAUGCCGAAGCGGCAGACGCCAGGAAGGGCCGGCGGGUUCGUGGACGAGAUGAGAGCCGUCGCGAUGAAGCUGCACACAAGGGAUCAGGCCAAGGAAGGGGAGAAGGAGCCUGACUCGCCGCCCGUCAGCAAGUGGGAGCCUUCCGUUGAUGGUUACCUCCGGUUCUUGGUCGACAACAAGCUAGUCUAUGAUACCCUCGAGACCAUCGUCCAGAAGGCUGCCUACCCCUGUUGUAAGUUAUGUUCCAGUCUCUGAUCAACCUUUCAAUACUCCUUGAGUAGUGGUGCUCUCUUUCUUUUAAUUAUGUAGAUGAUUGAGUCCAAACAGAGAGAAAAAAAAAUAGAAUUGUUCACUCAAAUCCGUCCAUGGUGGUCAUUCAGAGCUGCUGUGAUUAUUGUCGCUUGACUUAACAGAAAUAAACUACCUCAUAGAGUUCGUUCUAUUUCUCUUUUAGUGUAAUUUAGUUAAGGUAUUUCCAGCUGAAAGAUUCACGUUAGAAUGAGUCAUAUGCAAAUCAUGUGGACUAAAUUGGUCAUAGAGUAGUAAUCAAGCAAUGCCUAGACUCAAUUUAGUUCGUUACUUUUUGUUCUAUUACUGGACAGAAUGGCAAGAUAUAUAAAGGUCUAUUAUUCCUCAUCCACAAGUAUCCAAAUUUUUUAUUGUCUAAUACUCCACAGAUAAUUCAAAUUGUAUAGGAACAAAGUCUCAAUGCAAAAGAGUGAAAAUGGGAGUCAGCAUAGGGUGCUGGUAAAGCCAUUCUUUCAAAGAGAAAGGUUCACAUAAUAUCCUAACACUUUGUUAGAUUAAUUGGUCAUCAAGGAAUUGAACACCAGAUACUGAAGCACCAUUUGCACUAACUGCAGAUUCUUUUCUUCCAAAAAGGAUUGUUUAUCUUGAAAUCAGAAAAUUGGGUACCUAGAUCAUUCGUUUGGAAACAAAAAUUUCUAAGGUCCCAUGCCAGUUCUGUUGGGAGGAUCAUGAGUCUGUCAUGUAGUGGGUUUGGAUAGGCAGUCUGAGACAUGAAGUAUAAAGUCAUUGAAGGAUAUGCAAGAUGAUGCAUGCAUAAGACCCUAGAUACCUUCUCUUGAUCACCAACUAUGCAUUGGUAAUUGUUUAUUGGUGUUGUUAGUCAUUAUUUAAUUGGAUGCUACAGGAAUAUGUUGGAACACAUGAUCAAUCAAAAGAAUAUUUAAAGUACUGGGACGACCUGAUAGCUAUUUAUGCUUUUUUUUAACCAAAACAGAAUAUAUAUUACUUUCUAGAACAAGUAUCAUAGGUUACAUCCAAGUGAAUAAAAAACAAGGAUCAGAGGGCCAUCCCCCUCUCCAAACUUUAGUAAUUUGACGAGUCCUGGCAUUAGUUUGUGAGCCAGUUAGUGACUCUGAUAACAUAAAUUAGCAGCCUGUGGUUUUCUUAGACUAUCAUAAGCUGCUACUGGGACCCAGAUAAGCUGCUUGUAUCAAUUGAGUGACACUCGGUCCAAGUCCUGGACUACUUGAUUACCCAUUCAAGUCCAACUAGUACUCUUGGACACAGGGAAGGGCAGAUCACCCUCAUAAGAGCUAAAGGAUCCCUGAACUUUUUCUUUGGAUGGCCAAUUGAACUAUGUCUCCAAGUAUACCACUUGCAGAAAAAUCUCUGAAAGGCAUAUGUCAGUGAAUAAAAAGAGAAGGCUGCAGCAAAUGCAUGAAGAGGAAUGUAUAUGAUCCGUAGAUUGGUUGUGUCCUAUAUUAUUUUGGAAUUGGGCAAUAAUAGCCUAUAAAAGAAUAGUUGUAUGCUCUUUGAGACUUCUUUUACUAGUAUUCUUUUUUAUUUUCAGCAUUGAAUUAGGUUUUUUUGUUUCUUAGCACAUAUGGAGGCCUUCCUCCUCCUUGAACUAGAGAAAUCCUGGCUAGAAGGGUCGAAUCCUAGCAGUCUUAUCAGAGCAAAAUCUGUUAUGUACUAAGUUUCAAUGAAAACAAAAAGCAUGGCCGAAGGGACCUCCACCAAUGCUGCAUACAUCAAAUUUCAAUAUAUAUUCUCAUAAUUUAAUGCCUUUAUGUUUUCUAUUAGGGAUUCAUCAUCAUCUAUUAAUUAUCAUUAACCCAAUUCAUCAGCUUUUAAAUUUUUUUAUGAUGGAAUGAUGUGAUAACAUAUAAUUAUUCAUGUAACAAGGAUGUUUUGAUUAAAGUUUUAACUUGAUUGUAAGUGAUUGCAAUUUAACUAAUAGUAAAUGGUUGGACCUUAGUUUGGUAUUAUAUUUGGCCAUUGUAUGCAGAUGCUGAGUUCAGAAAUACUGGCUUGGAAAGGUCCGAGAACUUGGUCCAAGAUUUAGAGUGGUUCAAAGACCAAGGACAUACCAUUCCUGAACCUUCUGUAGGUGCUUCUUAUGCUCAUUAUCUGGAAGAGCUAUCAGAAAAGAAUCCUCAAGCUUUCAUCUGCCACUUCUACAACAUAUAUUUUGCUCAUUCUGCUGGUGGUCGAAUGAUUGGUAGAAAGGUACUUGUCUGUAGCUUUUGUUUCCUUCAAUAGUGUUUGCAAACGUGAAUUUGUUGCACUCUUCUGAAAAAUUAAUUCAAGAUUACUACAGUUGCUAACAAAAUAGCUCCAUAUUUGCAUUUUUUGCCAUUAAGUUUUGAGUUCAUUUGGUUUUUUGCCUCUUUUUCAAAAAGUGUUCUUCUUGGAGAAUAAUUAUCAUUUGCCAGCUAAAUAUUUUGCCUAUUUUACAACAACAAGAAGCUGUAAAGUUCCGACCAUUUGGAUUGGCUAGAUGAAUAUUUUGCCUAUUUGCAUUAUAUAUAUCCAAACACUGAUGAAUUAUAAAUUCAUCUUAGCUUGUAGCAAAUGCUGCCUUGAAAAAUUUAUCAACCAAAUGUUCCAAUUUUAUGUUACAAAAGAAUUCAUCUAAAGCACUUAGAGAGUGGCUCUUUCCAAUUUAUUUGGAAUUGAAAACCUUUUAUAGAGACAUACUAAUGCAAAAGCCUCGUGCUAGAUAUUGUAUAAAAGGUCAUACUGAGUUGAGCAACUAUGUCCGCAAGUGGAUCCAGAAAAAGUUUAGUUUUUAUUUAGUGGGCUUAAUGCUGAGGCAUCCGCAUUAUUCCUUAAUGAUCGGUGCAGAUAAAGCUGUUAAGUUGCCUUGAAUUACUAAAGUAGGAGGCAUAAAUUGGUCCUCAGGCCAGCCCCAGGUUCAGAUUACACCCCUAUUGCCCCGUCCGUGUGGUGUUCAGUGCAUCCAUGCCUGAUGGCUGUACCCUUAGAAUUACACUGGUGCUACCCACAUUAUCCUUCAUACCGUCCUCUAUUAUUAUACUAACAUAUUUGCAUCCUUGACAUUGUCCAUUGAGUACCGAUUUAAAUCUCUGGCAUGGACUUACAUAGUUGACUUGGCCUUUAAUUGCAUCCAUUAGUUCGUUGUCGAUUUAACUGUCAAUCUCUGUCCCAUUGUAGGUAGCAGAGAAGAUCUUAGACAGCAAAGAGCUGCAGUUCUACAAGUGGGAUGGUGAUCUCUCCCAACUGUUGCAGAAUGUGCGAGACAAGCUGAACAGAGUUGCUUCGGUAUGACACAAAAACACACUAAAGAUACUGUUAUCCAGCAUGUUCUUGUCUGCUUUUUGUUUUAAUUUCUCAAGUUAUUGGUCGUAGCAGUCCACAUUGCAAAGCGUGGGUUUCUUGCUGAGCUGUUUUGCUACUCUUCUUUGCAGAGCUGGUCUAGAGAAGAGAAGGAUCAUUGCUUGGAAGAGACUGAGAAAUCCUUCAAAUAUUCAGGAGAGAUACUCCGUCUUAUAUUAUCGUAGAAGCUGAAGAAGAAUCCAUCAGCUUGCUAACUAUAAAUAUUCUUCCAGUUCCGCUUGGGGAAUUCAGUGAUGGAAAACUUGUCCACAUAUGUUUGUUCCUCAAAACUGUAUCAUAAUCUGUCCUUUAUUCGAAGACAGUUUCCUUCUUCUACUAAUCUGUGUUCAGUAACAAUUAAAUGUAAUCCGAUGUAAAUAUCGUGAAAUACUUAAAGAAAGAAACGAUUUUAUCUCUCUCACAAAGAAGAAGAUGCAAUCGAAAUUAGUGAUGUCACUUGUAGCUCAGUGUAUUGGGAGAUUGCAGAUGGGGGAUUACCGUGUGCAUUCGAUGUUUCGUACCUGGGCCGGCCCAUUUAUUUAUGGCCCAUUUAUUUAUGGAAGCCCUAAUGUCAUUGAAUGAUGAGGCGGGCCCGUAAUUUUCCUAUCACUGUGGCGCCUUCGUGUCGUCGGCUACGGCUACGGCUUCCUAACCGUAGACGGUGGAGGCGGCGGCAGAGCAAGGUGGAACGUCUCCGCACAUUGAGGCGGAGAAGUAUCAGAUCGAUUGGGGCAGCCUCGUGGCGUCCGAUCCCACGCACCACUUCCAAACCAUCCCAUCUUCUCGGUUCGUAACAGUCAUCUCUAUCUCCCUUUCUUCCUCGUUAACUGUUGAUGCUGAUGCGUGUAUGUGAGAAGAUUGUCUUCGUAAUUUUAGGUUUUCCGGAUUGCAACCAUUAAAAUUAGUUUAUUUGCGAAUGGUGUACUCGAUUGGUCUCCGAACCGUGCUAAAACCCCGUCCUUCACGACGGUUUAUGUAUAUAGCAUGAUGAUAUUGUUUCUGUUGUUACUCGAGCUCGAUUCCUUGUCUUCGUUGUGAUAACUAGGCAGGAGCUGACGAGGGCGUAUCUGGAAAAGGGCACCGAGCUGGGUCAAGCCCUAGCCGAUUCUCUUUUCGCCCUUCCGUCAAGCGACGACCCUGAUGGUCCCGUCGUUCUGCUGCCCCAGCCCACGACCAAGCUUCCGAGGGAGAAGCACGUAAGGUUUUGGAUUGUUGCGUUCAUCAUUCUUGUUUUUUUUUUUCUUUUAACUUCCUAUAUUUGCAAUUACUUGUUCUAUUGCAGCUUCGGUCGAUAAGGGUUGUCGUCCAAAUUAUGCAUUAUUUUUUUUGGUAAUGAAUUAGGAGUAAAAUGCAUUGUUGUUUUCUUGUAAAUUUGUGUGACGUGUUCUGUCUGUAUGGAGAAAAGAAAAGAAAGAUAUUUAGGCCUAUAACACUUGGAAAACAAGUUGUAUUUCAAAACCAGGGAAAACAGCAAGAGUAAUGAGCAAUGACAAAUAAUCAUUAGGCAUAAAAAUCGCAUGAUUUUCUAUCUUCCACAGAAGUUGGUCGCCACAGAUGCAAGGGGUACUGUAAUCACACAGUUGGUGCUCCUCUUUGAUUUGCUUGCAAUCAUUUUGUUAUUGUGGGGAUUAGGUAAUUUAGCUUUCAUUCAUAUCCGAAGUCGCAUUCAUGAUAGUAUUUUCUAGUCCUUCCAACAGUAAGUACUGAUAUUAAAUGCUGAUUUGUUAACCUGUGUUAGAGCACUUAUUGAAUGUGAAGUAGUUGAUCCAACUUAAGAUUAUGUUGCUUUUAGCUGUUUGAUGAAUAUCUAGUCCUCUCUGGAACCAAGUGCUAUGAGUUUGUUUUCGGGCUGCCUUUUCUCUUGGAAGGUAACUAGAAAUGUUUGCUGUUGUGGAUUCCUCCACAAAACUGCAUGCAUAUGUUUGAUUUCUGGUGCCUAUAUUUCCUUCUGGCAGGAAUUGAGUUCCCUGUUAUCUUCCCACUUGCAUUUUCAUGCGAUAAAUUACUAGAUGUAUGUACUUCCAACUUCGACUAUCAUAUUCCUUCACAUAUUUUUUUAUGACACUGAUUAAACUUUGCUUUUUUUCAGCUCCCAAAGCCUAAGCCUCCUACAAAGUGGGAAUUGUUUGCUAAGAUGAAAGGUUAGUUUUACAAGAAGUUUUCCCACUCUGCUAAUGGUUCUUUUUUCCAUCUUAUGAACAAACUGCUUAUUAUGUAUGGUAGGAUGCACAUGAUUCUGACUGAUCAAUUGUUCUUGCAGGCAUAAAGAAGCAUAAAAAAGAGAAGCAUGCGCUUGAUGAACAAACGGGUACUUGAAAGAGACAUCAUGGCUAUGACCAUGUAAAUGAUGAUAAGAUGAAAGGUUAGUCUUACAAGAUGAAAGGUUAGUCUUACAAGAAGUUUUCCCACUCUGCUAAUGGUUCUUUUUUCCAUCUUAUGAACAGACUUCUUAUUAUGUAUAGGUAGGAUGCACAUGAUUCUGACUGAUCAAUCGUUCUUGCAGGCAUAAAGAAGCAUAAAAAAGAGAAGCAUGCGCUUGAUGAACAAACGGGUACUUGAAAGAGACAUCAUGGCUAUGACCAUGUAAAUGAUGAUAAAGACAUACCAAUUAUUGAGGUCAAACUAGCAGAUGGUAAUGGUGUAAUUGAGUAUAUUUGCUUUAUGUAUUUAUUCUCGCAUAUCUGUUUUCUACUUCAUAGACAAAUCCACAACAGAAAGGAGAGUUUUGGGAAAACACUGCUUCAAUUGAAUAUUCAAAUAUAUAUUUUUGUUCAUGUACAGAGUUCUCUUUUGUUGUUGAUUGGAAACUGUGAGACUUUGAGAUGCUAGCAAUGUCUAAAAAGCAUCCAUGGUUUGCUGGCAGUCAGUGUGUCAGAUAGUGCAUAUGUGAUAUGCAGCCACAUUCGGAAAAGUGUACAUGUGGUUUGUAUUCUUUAAAAAAAAUAGGGUUUAAUAUGAUGAAUGUAGUAUUACCAUUAAGGCAUUACUGCUUGCUUGGUUUAAAUAAUUUGUACACGUUAUAGCACUGAACUUCUGAACUUCUUACAACUGUGGUAGCAAUUCUUGACCCAAUCCAUCAGUUGAACAUGAACCUGACAAAGAAUUUAUGUGUCAAUUUGGAUCAUCUAAGCAGGCCAAAUCCUGUUAAUUGUGUCAUCGUUGACUUGACUUGACUUAACCAGUCCUUUUUAUUAAGUAGGUCAAAUCAGGUUUCACGUGUAUUAGGUUUGGGAAUAAAUUUUUGACACAACUAAUAAAUGGUUCAUAUUUGGUUUGAGAUUAUUAUCCUACUAUGUACUUAACAUGUUCCUUUUUGUGUUUUUAAGCAAGUUAUUUAAGUUCAUAAAGUUAUGUUUUAUUUUCAAAAUCCUAUUAUGUUUAUCUAUUUGACAUGAGGCUUUGUUUUUCUAUUUUGAUAGUUUCAGCCUGUACUAUGAAUUGUGAAUUGUUUCAUCCAUUAAUUUUCCAAAAUUAUUAAGUGCAAAUAGUCUCAAUUGGAUCUUACCAAUAUAGAACAUGUUUUUUGAAUUCAACAUUUGCAUCGACCAAAUCCACGCCAACAUUAUAGCACAAGGAGGCUGCUCUGGAUAUGGGUUCUUCUUUUGGGAUCCGAGUGAUCUAGGAAGAAUCAGCUGGUUUAUCAUCAGAAAAGAGGAAGAACAAAUUUUAGUUACUUUUCCCAUCAGUUUGACCUACUUUUCUAAAUUGUUAGAGUUUCACAUACAAUGAUGAAUUUUAAAAAAUGGGUAAUUUUACUUUUCCCUUCAAUUGCUAAAUUUGUAGUUCCAUGUACAAUGACAUCUUACAAUUUGGGUAAUUUUAAUGUGUGCAUCACAUAUGCAUGAUCUAACUAUCAAAAAGUGGCUUUCUAUAGAGUUGUGACAUGGCUAGCAAGUCACACUUUAUUGUUAUCAAGUAGUCUAGUAUAUUUCCUUUUUAGACGUGCAUAAAUUUGUAUGAUUAUUUCAUUUCUGAAUUAUCAGAACUGCUCUUUCUGCAGAGCCAGGAGAGGAUCCCUUCAGCAAAAGGAAGGCUGAAAAGAAUAAACGAAUUGAAAAGCAAGAGAAGAACCGGCCAGAGAACUUAAAGCAAGCUGCAAAAGUUGGUGCCCUACCAAGGUUGUCUUUGUUUCCGAAACUGCCUUGUGAUAUUGAAUUAAGAUGGAAUUUAACAACAAAAGGUUCGUGGCAAUUCAUAUGUCAUUUGCUGUAUAGAUAACCCGGACUUUGCUUCUUGUACAAUUUUUUGCAAUGCUAGCUCUGGCAGGCAUGCAAUUCUUUGCAACUACUAGCAAAUGGGCUUAUAGUCAACCAUUGAGUAGUUACUUUUUUGUUAAUCAGAUUCAUAGACAUUAGCAAGUCUUGAAUGUUCUUAUGCUUACUUAGUAUAAUGUGUUAUAGACUAAGUCAAACAACUUAUUUUCUUUUCUACUGUCUGCCUUCUCCCCACCAAGUAUUCAAUAAUUUAUGCCCAUACAACUUCACAUGGCAGUCAUGUACAACUUGCUGCAACAGCAUUGCCGAUCACAGGAAGCCAGGCACCGAAGAAAGCCAGUAAAAAGGAGCUCGAGGAUAUAGCUGGGAUGGCGACAACAGCAACAGCAAGUGGUGGGAAAUUUGACAAAAAAGUUGCCAGGGGAGAAAUCUCUCGACACUGGGAAGUAUCGGAAGGUUGGUUCUUGCUUCGUUAUUCCUUUUUAGCAUGGUAUCAUAUACAAGGCUUAUAUUGAUUGCUUCUUUUCUAUAGUUUCUGCUCCUUGUGGAAGGAAAGGGGAUGAGCUCACAAGAGAAGCAACAAACAGCAAAAAUUCUCCACCAGCUGAUGUCCAAAAGCUCUCAUGACAUACUUGAUGUCAACAAGGCAAGAUUUAUUGUUAGAAAUAUAUUCAGUUUAUUUUCUUCUGGAAAGUAAUUUCUUCUGUUUCUAAUAAAGUUAAGAAGAAAAGCGUUAAAUUUUGAGAUAAUUAUGGAACAGGCAGUUACAAUGUUCAAUCUGAAGGUGGAAAAGCAACGGAAGAACAAAAAGGAACAAGACACAUCUACAGCAAGGAAGCUGAAGCCAAAAAAGGAAACCCCUUAAAAAAUCUUCAAAAAAGAAACACUAGAUGACAGCAUUUAGGGGUUUGUAAUGAUAAAGGCUAUUUAAUCUUCCAUGUUUCAGCAGUGUGCAAUAUUUUGAGCAUUUUCUUGUCCUUGUUUCGUCGUGUGUCAUGGAUAAACUUAUUCUUGAGUCAAAAGUAUGCUCUUUUUUGGUAAUCAAUUUAUAAUUGCAUGUAAAAUUAUUUAAUCUUAGUGCAAAUGUGUUGAAACUUGCUUAUAAUUGUUUUUCCUAUUAAUUUGUUGUCACAUGGUGAGUCCAUGGAGUCACUGCUAAAGUUUGAGACAAGGAGCCAUUGAAAUCUGUUCAAUAUAAAAGGGAUAGAAGACCCAGCAAAACAGAGUGGCAAAGGUUAUGUUCUGAUGCUUGUUUUGUGAGUAGGAAAUGUAUUGGACCCAGAUAAUGGUAUAGAGAAUCUUGACCUCACCUCAAGUGCUUUGAUAUAUUACAGCAAUUUUUCAGCAGUAAGUUUUAGGCAAAUCAUCUCUCUCCAACCUGGGAGACAAUCUUUCUUCUCUGAGAAAAAUUGCAUCUGUGGUUGCAAACUAUAUAACCUCAGAUUUUUUUUACUUUAGGUAGGGUAGGACGCUACUGUGCCCAAUCCAUCAAUUGUUUCAAGGCUAAUUACAGUUUACCCCCUAUAAUUAACUGCCUUUAGCGUUUCGAUUCUUAUAUUUUAAAAAAUUACAUUAACAUCCCUAUCCCUAUAAUUACGAAAAGGAAACAUUUAAAUUCAUUUUAUCGAUGAAAAUGAAACAUCAGUUUUAUCGAUGAAAAUAUGAAAAUAAAAGGUAAAAAGGUAAUUUUAACGUUUAGUGACGGAUGAUAGCAUCAUUGGCAUCGACGCCAACGCAAUUGCCUAGUCGUCGGUGUCGACGAUAAGGUUCAAUCUCAUCACGACGCCACUCACCUCUAUAAGGAGUGCACCAUCAACCUUAUCGUCGCCCACCCCGUGUCGCACUGUAGUGACAUAGAUGGUGGUGGCCACCACGACGUUUACGAUGAAGAUGGUGGCCAUCUCGCCGCUGACCCAUCAGGCGGACCCCAACCUCGACCCCUCCUCCUUUACAUAUGUGUCGACAUCGACGUAGGUGCCGAGUGAUUGCUACAUUCGACGACGUGCUUGAAGAUAGCGAAGGACGUGGCCUUUGACCUCCUCUACCUCCACCAGAGCAACCCGUCAAUCGUGCACGUGAACAUCAAGCCCACCAAUGUCUUGCUUGGCCCAGACUUUGAGUCCUACCUCAUUGACUAUGCUCUCAUCCUGCCCCUCCUCCUCUCCCGACCUCACCCCAUGACCUCACUGCCCCCUCCUCCACCGCAUCCUCCUCCCUUCUCUAUUGUGCACCCAAGUCCUCCUUCACCCUCUUCUAGGACCUGGUGGAGGAGCACAACAUUGACAUCCCCUGAUGGGUCCGCUCCAUGCGAGAGCAAAACGAAUUCGACGAGGAUCGCGAGUUACCCGGAAACGAGGCAUCCGAGGAGAAGCUAAUGGCAUUGCUGAACAUCAUAGUGGCAUGCAUAGUAGUCCAGGCAAAGAAGUGACUGUUAAUGUGGGAGGUGCUAUAGAUGAUCAAGGAAGCGCAAGCGGAGGUGAUGGUCUCGUCCAACAACAACGACCACUCGUCGAAUAGUUGGUUGAACACAAUACAGAGCUUGCCAAGGGAGCAUGGAUCAAAGAGUGACGAUCGCUCAAUAUUUGCGACGACGAUGAUGCAAAUGCAAAGGAGGGGUCCACCACUACCGAUGCCAACGAUGCCACUAUCAUCUGCUACCGAACAUUAAAAUUAUAUUUUUUAUCAUUUAUUUUAAUAUUUUCGUUGAUAAAAUUAAUGUCGUUAGGAUAAAUGAGCCUCAAUAUUUCGCUUUUGUAAUUAUAGGGAUAUCAAUCUAACUUUUUAAAACAUUAAAGGCAACUAAGACAAUAUGUAAUUAACCUAUUAUUUCACCUAAUUUGGUAAGAUGAUGGUUGAUGCUUCCUCUAAAAAUCAAAAUGUAUAAAUCUGUUAUAUGCUUUCCCAAAAGAUGUGAGCCUCAUUUGACACACUAAGAUCUAAAUAAUGAGAAUAACAACUCAAUUUAACAAAUUAAGUUCAAGAAUUGGAGAUUUGCCUAUCUUUGUGUUGGAGCAGUGGUAUCUUUUACACAUGAAGGCAUGUCAUUCUUUUUCCUACUUGUACUCACAAAGAUGCAUCACUAUUUUAGGGCAAUCACUAACCACAUCAUCCAGAUUCAGAUAAAAAGGAGUACACAAGCAGUUACUUGAAUCAAAGUCCACAACAUUUCCAAUCAUAAUCGUCUUUCUUCUUUUUUUGGAUCCCUUCAUCAGGGUUGCUGCGAAAUUAUAGUAGGCUUACCAGUGUGAGUUCUUGCGUUUGGAUCGAUACUCUACUUGCCUUCUCCAUUGGCAUUAAUACCAGAUCCUCUCCUACUAACAGUAGUAUUUUUCAAGAUCUGCAGGAGAAAUAGAAGUUGUCAGAGAGCAUUUUAUUCCCUCAACUGUGAGAUUAACUAUAAUGAUUCAGUGUGUUCACACAAAACCAACAUAGAUCAUAGCUACCAAAACCAUGAACGUUUACAAACAACAUAAGGUGGAGUGGCACAUAUCAGCUAAGGAUCUAAUGGAAGAGAACACAGUGUUUCUGCACAGAUAAGUCAUGUUUCUUCGCAAAGCAAUUUAGUAUGGCUAGAAAAGUUAUUCUCAUGUCAUACAUGAUGUAAUCUGGAUUACGCAUGCCAAAUCAGGAAGUUGCUCGAAUCAUAAGGAAAUGUGCGUGUUGGAUAAUCAAAUAGUCUGACGAACACCAGUUUUAUCAACUUUCUUACUUAUAACCGUCUUUUGUUGCCAAACAACAUGCAGAAGCGUACAUCUUGAUUGAACCGAGGUAGAUACAAGUACAACAAACAAGUGAAAAUCGCAAUGCUACGAAGAACAUCAACGAUUAUUUAUACAUGAAGAAUUAGAAAACAAGGAAUCAUAAAUAAAAUGGUUACGGUAUGACAGGAAAAAGUUGUGGCAAUUUCAAGUAGUUUAGUUGGUUCUUAAAGAAACAUCAUCUUGUGUACUCAAACUAGCUGUGGAACCACAGACCUAAGAGAUGUUCGUUCCCCACUAACUUUUUUUUAAAGAGCAUGGAUAAUAUCUCAUUGCCAAUUGGUUAAUUCCUUUCUUAUACAGACUUCUCACAUUUUUAUCCCACAACUCUUAUGGUUGAUACUUUCUGUUCACUUUUAGUGACUAAAUGAGAUUGCAAUGAGAUAACAGGGUAUGAUCACCCCAUAUAAGAUUUCCUCCUUGAAGUUCAAUAUCUACUUUUGGUUUUAGCAUACAACCAUUAGCUUCAAAAACAAGAUUUCAUGGCAAUCACGAACCAUAAGCUUAAGAGAAACAAACAACACUAGAUUCAGGAAGUCAUUUCAACGUAAUCGAUACAUACUAACGAAAAUAACAAAGAAGUUACUACACCUAGACGAUAGAAAGCAUUAUAAAGAAGAUACAUAAGCACUACGAACUCCGAGCAAUAUAUAGCUACAUGCAUUACGUCUAAAAGAUUCCCCCAUUAUCAGAUUGAAAUAGAUAUACAACUCUAGUAAGUCGAAAAGGACCUUUCAGGAUGGUGACCUCCGAUGAAGUCCCAGGAUUUUAAUUUCCACUUUCAAAAUUAUAUAUUAAAAUAGCAUCAUCUAAAUUCCACCCUCUAUCCAAAGUCCAAAACCAAUUCAGUAUAAGUUUAUAGGGAUAUGAGAAAUCUCACCUCCUAAAUCCCACCCUCUGAAUCCAAGAUCUAAUUUCCGAUGGCAUCAUCGGAGUGUCGAAUCCCAUCAAAAAUCAAAAUGUGAUCCGUGCUCGGAAUAUUCCAUUACAGAAUUUGGACCAACACUUUCGAGGAUUCCUAGGAAUUCAUAUCCUCAUGUUAAAUGAGGAAUCAAGUGUCGACAUGAGUACUGACGAUGACAGGGAAAUAUCAUGAAGGUCAAGAAGGCAUACUUGUCUCAGCAUGUUGUUCUCAUUCUGCAACGUGGACAUCCUCUCCUCCAGUUGCGAGUUCCUGGCCUCCAAAUCCUUCACCUUGGCCUCCAAAUCAUUCAGGUAAGCCUUCUUUCUCUCCCGUGCUUGCUGAGCUGACACUCGAUUCCUCAGCAACCUUUCGUGGAAAGGGACGCACCAAAAGCAGACGAACGGCUCACUACGUACACAGAUCAUUCCCAAAAGUAUCCAACUGGGGGGCAGAAGAGGAAAGAUGUUCCGAACCUCUUCACCCGUUUGUGCUCCUUGUCGGCGACGCUCCUCCCUCUCCGCCGCUGGCCGGGCUGGCCCUGGUCCGGACCGUCCGCCGAAGCGGCCUCCCGGCCGGAGGUCGAUGGGCCGGCCGGCUGGAACCCGAAAUCUGGCACUCUCCUGAUCUCGUCGUCGCUUUCCAUACCUAUAUCACAGCAAAAAGAAAAUCGAAAUUUCACCAACACACUCCAACAAAGAGGUCAAAAAAAUCCAAAAUACAUCGAAGCUGGGAUUAAAAUGCCGAUAAAAAUCCCCCAUUCUCCGUAAAAAUGUAAUCUUGGAGAAGCCAGCGGGACCAGUUACGCAUUGGCCAAAUCAAACUCAAAAGGAUCGCAUUUUGGACGGAGAAAUCACAGAUUCUUCGACGAAAAUACUAUUCUUAAGCAAAAUCACGAGAAUUAAUCAAUUCCUACCGGAAAAAGGCCCGCAGGAAAAGAAAAGAAAGUAAAAGAUUUACCUUCUUUGACUUCCAUCAGAGGGGCGGAACUCGAGGAUCUCUCGCUACCCGAAGGAAGGGAGCUGGUUGCCUGCUCCUGCAGCAUCCUCCUCCUCCUCUUUCUCCUCGAAGAGAAGAGAUCGACAGAGAAGAAGAAGAAGCAGAGCGUUGCCUCAGAGUACUUCUUAUCACCUCUGCCGUUUGUCCAAGAGCGGGGACGAGAACGAGUUUACAAGAUCACGUGGGAUUCCGUGAUCUAGAGAUGGGCUGCUUGGCCGUCCGAUCAGAACUCAUCGGACGGUCGUAAGCGCGUGAGCGUGGACGACGGUGGAGCCAUAAACCGACCGCGAGGAUCCAAAGCCGCAUUGUAGGCGAGCGUGGAGGCUUUUCUACCGUUCGAUUAAUGGAUAAGUCGAGUGGCCGACGAAUCCUAGGCGUUCGAUCUGGUCUUUUCCUGGCUGUACAUGUUACUGAGAGGUUUGAUGUUCUAAUUUGUUCGGGUUUUUCAUAUCCCUCCAAAAAUAUUGAUAAUUAUAUAAUAUUUACAUCCUUCAUAUGUGUCUCUUUCCUUAGUAUUUAUCCCAAUGAAUUCAGUCAGCCACUAUUAAUACAGCAGUUCUCAUUUUGGAUAGAGCAGGAAAACCAGCUGGGAGAAGAGAGCCUUUCUUUGUAUGAAGGUUGUGAUGUAAAAGACAAGAAGGAAAGGAUAGUAGUACACAGCUUAGCUAAAGCUUCUCAUCUGAAGUGGCAUGAUUUGCUAUAGGGUUUCUCUAACAUCUACAUCUCAGGAUAGAUAUAAACUGACAAGCAAAACCCCCUGAGAUCAACUGUGCAUAGUUUGAUCAAAGCUUUUUGUACUAUUAACUGAUUUCUCAUGUUGGAUGUCAUUUUGUCAGAGCAGAUGGAUGAUUAGCUCUGCAUGUCUAUGGACAUUAGAAGUCUUAUAUUGGUUUUACCAUAGACAUACAGACUGGUUUUAUGUUGUUGGUCUUUACCAUUUGGGCUCAUGACCACCACCAGGCUCUAUUUUCUUUAUUUGACAGGAGAUAAGUUGAUUCAAAUGACUUCUACUGUAUCAGUAGUCUCAUGUAUUCCUCUUGCAGAAGAAGGCUUAAUGUAAGAUGUGAAACACCAAUUUAUAUUAAUGGAGAAGCAGCAUGAUAGCUGCACUUCUCCUCCUCAAAAGAAAUGAUAGCAGCAGAGAAGUAUUCUCUAAUCACUUCUGUUUUAAUAAGAAAAUGCUGUAAGUGGGAAAGCUGCAGCACAAUCUAAGCAACACACACCAGAAAGCAGGGAAAAGAGUCCUGCUAAAUGUGGGAAUAAUGGAGGUGGAAAUAUGAAUUAUAGGUGCCAUGAACUUUUGACCAGAUCAAUAUAACAGGGGAAACCUUGAUAAAGUUGGCUAAAAGCUAAAGAGAAUCCAAUGUGAUUGACACACUCAAUCAAGUCCUAUGUGGAGACCAUCUUCCACUCUAGUACUUUUAGCUACAAAUGCAUACAUAACCUUGCCACAACAUAGCAGAAAAUUAGUAGGAAAGUUGACAACAUUGUCACUGUCAUUGGCUUUUGUUCUGAUAGCAACUACUCAUCUGGACUUGAUGUGUGUUAUGCAAAAUGAGGGUAGGGAUUUAUUAUUUUCUUUUCUUAUCUUUCCUUUCCUUCAAUGUAUAUUUAUAUCUUAAUUCAUCAUUUGAUGCAUGCCUUAUAUUUUCACAUGAAAACAUCAUGGUGCCACAAAAUAAUUCAAUUGGAGAGAGAGAUGGACAAUUCACUUGGUGCUUUCCUUUGAUGUGUGAAAAGGAGUCACCCAUGAAAAGCUUCUGUUGAUGUUUGAUUCUUUUGGAGUGCAACAGCUGUUGAAACCUAAACUUGGAGCUUUUGUAGACAUGUCAAAGGCCAUGGCAUUUCUCAAGACAUUCCUUGGACCACUUGCGUUAUGUGCUCGAGAACAUACCCCACCAUUUGGAGGAUGACAUACAUAUAAUCUUCAUUCAUAACAAAGCAGAAAGAGACUUCACAUUACCUAUUGCAAAGAUAGGAGGAAGAGGUGCAGGAGAAGGGUGAGGGACACAGGACUUCAAAGCAAAUUGAAACUGAGAGAAGGAACACUCAACACAGAACUUAGGGUUCAAGAAGAAGACCAAAGGCAAAACUAGCAAUAACUUGAGAUCACUACCGUAUCUGAAGCUCUCGUUCAUCUCUUUCUGUUGUCUCUUCGCUGGUUCAUCGUCUCCUUAGACUUCGGUGCCUGCCAUGAACGGCCAAAGAGGUUUCCAGAUGUUGAUACUAUCAGAUUUCAGGAUGGAAGCAAACAAAAUGAUGAGUCCAGCGGUGGAUGGGUUACCGGAAUCCCUGGGUGCAUUGCAUCGGAAGCACUCCAUCCUGCUUGCGAAGUUGUGCUCGUUGCAUCCCGACCUACAGAAAUGCUUCAACGAUGUUAGCUAAACAUGGAGCCCAGAAGGGUUUGGUAUCGGAUGAAGCUAAAAGAACUGCACAUAUGUAAAGGUUAGAUGAACGUUUGAUGAAGAACAUGCACAAGGAACAGAAGGGGCAUGAGUGACACCUGUUGCAGAUCCAGUCCCCGGACUUCCACCCGGCGCGCCCACCGCCGCCGCUGCCGCCGAAGCCGUACCCCCGCGACCGUGGCAUGUCGCCGUCGAAACCACCGCCGCCGCCGCCGCCGACUGCUGAGUCCUCCUUCGAGGCACAGCACUUGAAGCAGCUCGAGCGGCUGGCGAAGUUAUGGGCGCCGCAGGAGCAGUACCAGUCGCCAGGGCGGACGUCGGAGCCGCUGAAGCCAAACGAGGAUCCACCGACGCGGCCGCCGCCGAAGCUGGCGUACUCGGAGCGGUCGCUGCUCGGCCUCGAGUCGCUGCAUCGCUGGCACGAGUCCCGGCGGCUGAAGUUGAGGUGCUGGCAGGAUCUGCAGGUCCAGUCUCCUGGCUUCCUGUUCAUCUUGUCAAGUCCUAAAGAUUCAAGAUACAUCCAUCAGAGAUUGAGAGAGAGAGAGAGAGAGAGAGAGUUACUUCCUGCUCAUCUUGUCAAGUCCUAAAGAUUCAAGAUACAGCCAUCAGAGAGAGAGAGAGAGAGAUACUUCCUGUUCAUUUUGUCGAGUCCUAAAGAUUCAAGAUACAAGAAGACAGAGACUGAGAGGGAGAGAGAGAGUGUGUGUGUUACUAUGUCCUGCAUCUUCAAUGUAUUAACAAUCCUAUACAAGAAGACAGAGAUCAGUCUUAAGAGACUGCAAAUACUGCUGGUCCAUAGAAGGGAAGAGCCAAGAAGCAAAGGGUUCCUUCUUUGACACCAAAGAAAAUUUAAGAUAGCUAACAGUAGAGUGUGUGUGUGUGUGAGAGAGAGAGAGAGAGAGAGAGAGAGAGAGAGUGAGAUUUAUACUGCAUGACCAUGUACUAACAGUCCUAUACAAGAAGACCAACAUCAAAUCCUAUAACUCUUUCUAGUUCAUGGAAGAGAAGAGACAAGAAGCAAAACUCUCUUGUUUGACACCACUGAAGCACCAACAAUAGAGAGGAGUGGAGAUGGAAGGCUUACCCUAAGUUGGGAGGAAGAGGAGAGGAGAGAAGUGGGAUGUCAGAUGAGACAGUGAGUGUUGAUGUGAGGUUGGGGUGGCCUUUUAUACUUGCAUGUGGAGCUCAAUAAUUGAGAAUCUAAAUUGGGUGUUCUCACUUUUCUCUUUCUGUGGCCACUUCUUGAACACUGCAGUCACAUUAAAAAAAAAAGAGAGAGGUAACCCUAAGAAACUAAAAAGAAAAAGAAGAAGAAGAUAAAGAGUAUGGAUAAGGAUGCUAAAAGACUGGUAAAAUUAUGAGGAAUUUGAACAUGGAUUAAUUCAGCAACAUCUUUUGAGGUGGUGAAAUGCAUGUGGAACAUUUCAGUUCCCUCCACCAUGCCACUUCUUUUACAUGAUUCUCAUCAAACAUGUCUUUGUUAAAAGACAUGACAUCUUAAAACUACUGUGGCUUCCAUAAUGCUUGCAAACUGGCUUUAGUGUGACAAUGGAUGUUUUGUUUCCAUUUCCUGAUGCAUUUUUUUUGGGUACUCUGCUGAUGUUUAAGAUUAAUCUGAACAAUGCAGCAUCAUAUUAUCCAGAAAAUUACUCAGGCUAAACAUUACUAACCUUGAUUAUUGUUUCUAAAUAUUCCUAAAUGUACCCCAAAAAAAAUCUAAAUUUCUUUUCUAGUGUAACUCAGGCUAAAAAUAUUCAUAUUGAGGCUACAAUGAGCUCUGCAGUCUAUUAUCAUUUUCCUUUCCUUCAAACUGACCAUCUAACCCUUAGCCAAUAUACAAGCACUACACUAAAUGGCUAAUCCACCAAAGAAAAUAGAAUGAUGAAACAAAUCCAAUCCCAGUGGUCUGUUCUUAGAGCUUUCAUCUGCCUUUGUCAUCUCACUCCAUAGAAAUUUAAAUUCUCCAACUGGAUGAAUUACAUCUUAUUAAUCAAAUAUAAUAUCAUGUAAGAUAUCAUCACAUUCAUAUGCAUGUUUAUCAAUGUCAGUUUAGCUUAAAUGUUGGGAAUACAAAGACAGGGAGGGGAAAGAAAGAUAAGGAGGAUAAAAGACUUGAGUAGUUUUGGCUGGCUGUCUUUUUAUUCAUACUUGAGAGAGAUUGGAGGAAUUUUUGAAGAGGGAGAAAGCAUCCUUUCCAUUUUUUUCAUGCACCAGUUAUUGAAUUGCUCAAGAAAGUAAAAGGGAAAAAAAAACUGGUGAAUUUCUAUAAAGAAAGCAGUCUUGGAGGAUGGUCUUGACCAUCUUUUUCCACUUGUUUCAUGUCCCUCAUCUUCUUCUGCCUCCCUUGAUUGUUAUGUUGCAAACCAAAGUCUCUUCUUUUCCUGAUCCCCCCUGGUGUGGCUUAUAUGAGUGGCUUUGCUUUUGCUUUUGCUUCCCCCUACUUUCCCAUGGUGUCAAGGGAAGAGGAGUUUCAAACCCAUAGGAUGAUAUACCCUCCCUUCUCUUGGGAGAAGUUAAAGGGCAGUGGUGAACUGUGAAAAGAAAGCACAGGAAAGUGCUUGUGGGCUGAUUCGAUUCUCCUAGGGAAAUGCUUCCAUGCAAUGUGACCAUGACCACAACCUGCUUUUUCUCUCUUUUGCAGCUUCAUCUUCCCACUUUGCCUUUUUGAGGCAGGUGAAUACUAUAAUGUCUUUUGGUGUUCUCCCCUAACUCAGUCUGGUGCACAUAUCUUUAUCUUUGUUACAAGCAUUAACACAUGAAAAGGUGUAAAUGUAGGUGUACUUUGAAAUGAGCAUGAUUUAGCAUGCAUUCCAGAUGAAAAGCAGUGAGAGUCUAACAUUCAUAUGGAAACUGGGCCUCAUCUAAACCUGCAUAAUUCAUAGUCAACACAUGUCUUGAGUUUGUGUAGUAUGCCAUCAGAUCUGACAAGUUUCUUGAGCAAGCUAUGAUAUUGGAGCUCAGUAACAGACAAAGAAAAAAAGGUUCUUUCUGAAAUGUGGUUUGUUUAUCUUAGAUGAACCAAAUCCACCUUACUGAGUUAUAGUCCUAAUUAAAGCAAUUGAAUUACUGAAGCAGGUAUCAUAUUAAGAAAGAAUUUUCUAUACAAGAUUUUACUGCUAACCCCAUAGGUUUGGGGGUAUGUAAAGAGAACUGCUUACAUCCUGCAGUUGAAGGUUAUGGAAGCAUACAUAGUGAUAAUUUCUCUUUCCUUAAACAAAAUAUUUCAGAAUCUCAAGUGUAUUGGGUAUGUUCUUCAGAACCUAAGAUGCAGAUACCACCACCAGGUUGGUUCUGCCUUACUCAAUUCUACUUAGUCCAUCACAAGUAGGCAUAAUCCCGGUUUCAGAACCGAAUCAUAGAGGACCGAUUCUGGUGCCAGUUUCUACGGUUCAACUUCCAGUUCGAACCACCUUUUUUUUUUUACUUUUAGUUUUUAAUUAAAAAUAAUUAAAAAUAGCAAACAAUCAUAAAAAAAUUAUUUCUAAGUUUUGAUCAUAAUGUCAUUUUGAAAAGUGGAUGCAUUUCAAGACAAGUCUAAUGAUAUAAAAUUGAUAAAAUUAUAAACUUAUCAAUCUUUUAUAUGGCUGUUGGGGGGGGGGGGGGGCGGGGGGGUGCAAACUGGUCAUUUGCCCCCUUCAGAACCCAACAGUCUAUCAAACAAUCAACCCUAAUAGCCAGUUGGUCAAAGGGGCUUUGACCCUUUUUUUUUCUUGAAAUAUGGAACCGCCGGUUCCAAUUCCCAAAAGACCAUACCGGACCUAAACCGUAACCAGGGCUAAUCAGAAGCACUGUAAACAGAGAUGUGAUUUUAAACCUCUAAGCCUAAUCUGUGGGACCAUUAACAUAAUUUUCAAGACUUUCUUAUUCCAUAAAACACAAUCAAAUGCUUGUAUCAUAAAUGUCUAAGAGAGCAUUCUUUGAAAGGCCUACUCUACCAUGCCAAAGCUGUUUACUGUGAGCAUGUUGACAAGGAUGAUACUUGUUCUAACAUCAAUAUAUAUGAAUUUAUUUUAUUCUCUGGUGUUUGUAUAAUGUUUGACAAUAAAAUUUUCUCUUGGGUGAAUCGCAUCUAAAGAAUCAUCUAGUCAUACAAUCUCUUCAUGAUCAGGGGAAUCAUCUAGUGAACAAGAUUUUCUUCAUUGUUGUCUGGUGGCAGUUCAAGCAUCAAUCAAGAUAAAAGAAAAGGGUAACAAAUAUCCAUUUGUUAUGCUCAAAGAAAAAUACAUUUAUUACCAUCUUGUUAUGAAUUAGAUAAUUUUUUCUGCCUCCGUUAUGUUCUCACUGAAAGAAGUAUCUUAGACUUUGAAAUAUACAUCAGCAUUUGCAUUUUUAGCUACUGCAAUGUGCUUGGUUCCCCUGAUCAAGAAGACACUAUAUGACUAGAUGAUUCUUUAGAUGUCAUUCACCCAAGAGAAAAUCUUAUUGUCAAACAUUAGAAAACAUCAGAGAAUAAAAUAAAUUCAUAUAUAUUGAUGUCAGAACAAGUAUCAUCCCUGUCAACACAGACGUAAUAAAAAAAUUCAUUCCUAGAGUAGGAUUUGCAUAAGUUGGUACAUGAGAACUGACCUAAAGUUUGAUAUCAAUUGUUAGUUUAGUUGAAAAAUGCCGCUUGAUCAUUGUACUUACAUUAUAUUACUCUCUUUUCAUGCCAUGUACAAAAUGGGAGCUAAUUGGCAGUUGGUCUUAUCAAAGGAUCCUUGGUGUAUUCUUGAUCAUUUUCUGAAGCAAUUUAUCAUGAUUGUGGAAUAAUAACAAAUCACAUACAAAGAAAUUAACUUCCCUUGGCAUUUCUAAAAUAAACUCACUGAUUGGCUUUGAAAAAGCUAAACAAAACUCAAGGAAACAAAUGCCACCAAAGACUAAUCUUAAAUUAAUCGAUCAAGAAAGAAAAAUGAACAUUUAUCUCAACAGCAUCUCCAAUCAUGUAACAGGCAAGGCAUCAUAAACUAUGAAUUAUCGCAAGACAUUACCAAUUUUACAUAAACAUUAAUAUACACUUCUCUCAAUUAAAGAAAAAAACAAUAUCAGGAUAGCAACCUCUCUUGAUAUACCUGAAAGGUAAAAGAGAUUGUUGCAAAGUCAAGAAAGCCAUCCAUUUCUUUUAUAAUGCUGAACUUAAAAUCUAGCAUUGCAUCAUAAAUGGGUAACAGUACAUUAAGCUCAAGACGCUCGACAUCUUUAUGAAUUGUAGUGAUUUUAUCCCAUUUUGAUUGCAGAAUUUUUCAUUUAUAAUAAAAAAUGUUAAACAAGCAAAUUAGAUCAAAAAAUAAAUAAGUUUCAGAGAUAAAAGACAUUCUUUAACAGAGAUGAAUCUAAUAUUCAGAAAUAAUUCAUAUUUCUUUCAUUGUUUCUAGCAGUUUAUUCCAAUAGAUUAAAGCAUGACAAGCUUAGAUCUCUUUUAAUUAUGAAGAAAAAUAUGUAGGUUCUUCUCUGAUAACUUCAUUUAUUACUAUAAUUGAAAGUUGUUAAAAAUUGUCUCCUAGAAAUGAGAUUCAAAUGGUUUGAUAGUUAACUAGAAAAAUAUAUUUAUAUAAAUAGGGUGAAGAGAAUGAACUUGUAUCUUAAUAGAGUUGAUGAUUUAUGGGUAGACAUCGUCACUAUUAAGUAUGGAAUGGUUUCUCCUUGGAAAGACAAUACCCAGAAGAAUAUUACUUAGAGCUAGAGUUUAUUUCUCGCAGCUAUGGCUUAGCUUGGCAGUGGGUUUACUCAUUGGAAAUGUCUCUGCCAUUAGUAUUACACAUGAUGGUUGUUUGAUGUUCCUAUUCAUUCAAAGCCUACUUUGGUCAAUAUGGAUAUUGAACUAGAUGAUUACAUGUUGUCUAAUUUACCUUUGAAUGGUCAACGGAUUCAGGAAAAACUUGCUCACUUGUUUGGUUCUGUCUCUUCAGAUAUAGUUCACAAAGUGUACAUAUCUCACACUCCUUAUGAUGAACAAGUGAUUUAAAAAUCAGAUCUUAAGGGGCAACCAUCAACUCAGUUUGUAUUCUUUUUAGUGUUUGGAUGAGGUGAGCACGGAUUGCAUUAGAUUAAUAAAAGUAAAAUUGUUUUCUUUGUGAAAUGUAUAUACAUUUAUGCAUCAAACAUAUCUAUACAUGAAGAAAAAAACUCAUCCGAUGUCUUCUCAUCUCACUACUUAAUUACGAGACCGUACCGAGACAUUUGGAAGAUUAAGUAUUGAUUGAUAUUUAUAGAUAUGAAAGGCAUUGAAGUGAGGUGGCCGAGAACAACAAGUCAUAACAUUCCAGCAGAAUAAGGUGUCCCGUUAUACUUAAAUCACACGACUUGUGUAGUUUCCUCUACAACCAUUAAGGAAAUCAUAUGAAUUGUUAGAACCAUAGGUGAGAUGGUGAUUUUUUGCAUAAUCUAAAGACUACAAAAAAUGAACAAUUAAUAGAGAUUAAGUGUAGGAUCAUAUGGCCUUAAGGUUCUAUUACAUCAGAUAGAGAUUAAAGAAUUAAGAACCAGAAAAACCAAAGUAGAAUAAUUUUAUUUAUCCAAAGAAACCAAUUGCCUGAAUGGAGGAAAAAGGAAAAGAGAUCAAGGUACUUGAAAAAUGGGAGUGGGCGGUACCUUCUCUGGUCCGAUCUGUUCCUUGGCCUCCUCCCCUGUUGCGGUUGCGAGAUACCAAAAGAGAGAGAGAGAGAGAGAGAGAGAGAGAGAGAGAGAGAGAGGGCGCCCUAAUCCGUUGAUAGCACCAGGGCAGAUGAAUUUAUAGCAAACGAGGAGCGUGUGUCGAUCACAUCAACGUCUCAUGUAGGUGGACCUCGAUGCCGACGACAGGCUGCACCGCGAUACAACGCACCACCCGACGGACCGAGUCCAUUGCAGAGGUGGCAAAUAGACGGAGCCAUCUCGGAUAAAUCGACUUAAGGUGGCUCGUCUCCUUCUUCGAAUCGAGCUCGAGUUCAAGCACGGAGACUUGGAAUGGCUCCUAUGUUGACCUCAUCGAUAUUUUGAUUUCGGGUGCUUGCAAUGGUCAUUUACGGUGAAUAAUCUAAGAGUGCACUUCGUUACGGCACACUGCGACGUUAUCUCAAACAACAUCCAACAGCUGCUUCAUCCCGAAAUAUGCCUACGAGAACAUGAUGAACAACAUUAUAUCGAGUUGUGGCAGAUCGACACAUCACACCUGUGAGGCGUCAUUCCAUGACGAGGCAAUUCCAAAAGAAUUUACAUGUCAACUCAUAACUAGACACGUCAUCGAAUUCGCCCAGCACAGCAGCAACUAAUAAUGCACAUCCCAAGCCAUACAUUAGUAAACUGUUGUCAAAACAAUACAAGUCAGUCAUUUGUACCCAAACCCUCCCCAUUUCAUAAGAUCCAAUCCCCUGGAUUUGGACCCAUGUGACAUGGAGAGGUCCAAUGUCACAUCUCACAUUAAAAAAAAAUAAAUAAAUUAUCAUUUUUUUUAUUUAUAUUUUUUUAUCUUUGAAUUCAAUCCUCUAUAUUUACAAUAUUUAUUAACUAAAAAAAUCACAUCUUUUUUAUGAAAAAAAAAAUAUUUCUCCACCCAACCAUCACAUCUAUUAUAAAGUCAUAAAUAACUCUGAAUAUAAAUUAUGAUAAAAUAUAUAUAUUAGUAAGAAGUCUUUAAAAAAUAUAAAAAUAAUUGUUAAUAAUAAUAAUAAUUUUAUUAAAAAUAAUAAUAUUUUUAAAAUAAAUUAUUAUUAUUAAAUAAUAAUAAUAAUUUUUAUAUAAUAAAUAAAAUCAUUCAUCAUUCAUAUUCAAUACAUCUUCAUAACAUAUAUAAUAGUCAGAUAACAAAGACAUAUGUCACAUUCGAUGAUAUAUUCAAUACAUCUUCAUAACAUGGAUUGAUACCCCUCGUGUAUCCAAGUGGGAGAUAUGUUUUUCUCAACAACGGAUGGAUGAACUAUUUAGCCAUCAUAUCUAACGCUCCGUUAAUCCUCGAAACGAAUCGUCUUAUCUACCCUCGACAUAAAUAUAUAAUCAAUUAUAAUCAUUCAUUUAUAUUCAUACAUAUAUUCAAAAAAUAUAAUGAAUUAUUAUUCAUUUAUAUUCAUACAUAUAUUCAAAAAAUAUAAUAUAUUAUUAGGGAUCAUGGUUAAUAUAUGAUGGACCUGUAACUCCUCUCAUAUAUUACACUUCUAAUAUUGAUAACUUAGUAUAGUCACAUAUAUUAUGCCGUAAUAAUCACACCAAUAUCAUCAAUUUAAUUUAAAAAAUAAAAAAUCACUAAUUAUUUCAUAAAAAUAAAUAAAUUUUUAAAAUUUAUUUUUAUUUUACUUUCACACAUAAUGAUAGAAUUAUAAUAUUUAUGUAUUAUAAGUCACAUUCAAAAAUGACAUUUAAAUUAUUUACUUUUUAAAAAUCACAUCACUCAUUAAAAGAUAAAUUAAUUAAUAGUUUACUUGAUCGAUAAAAUUUUUAACUCAUUCAUAUGAUUAAAAAUAUCAAUUUUAAUCAUUUUCUUAAUCAUACUACACAUUAAUAAUUUAAAUAAAAUAAUAUAUUAUUUAUAAUAAUUUAAUUUAUGUUGAGAAGGAAAAAAACCAACGGUGAUUAUUACAUCCAAACUUGGUUAUUUUCACAAGCCAUGGUGACGAAAUCAGUAGCAGUAAAAACUUGUAACAAAAAAUACAUGUAGCAGAGACACUUUGAAUGCUUCAAAAAAGAAUGAAGAGUCUAAUUGUGGCCAUUGAUUAUUUGACAAUGCACUAAAAACGCCCAAAAGAAUCCAAAGGCUAACAAAUGGCCAUAAUGGUCACUGUAAAGGAAAAGACGAUGAAAACAUACGCCACACUUGGGGCAAGAAAAU
rnacentral:lncRNA from 1 species